rnacentral:lncRNA from 1 species
UUUGUGUUUGAUGCUAGCGUGAUGUACAUAAUGUUUCAUUUGCUGAAUCUGGAUCCUGGAAGAAUAAAUCCUGAGCUUCUUUUCUUUUGCUUAUUUAACAUUCUUUCCUUGGGUGUGUUGAAGAGUUUAUGUUCAGAAAAUUUAGGCUGCAAACUCUGGAAUUUCUCAUGUCUGCUUAUCUUUUGGAAAAAUGCGUCUGAACUUCUACUGUUCAAGAGUUGGAUGGAGAAUAUAAGUUGGAGAAGAUAAAACAACUUAUGUUGAAGGUGAUAGAUAGUCAAAUAAGUAUUGAUCACUGAGACCUAGUAAAGUUCCUAUUUCCUCAUCAUCUAAAAGUUUGUUUUUCAUAAAUUGUCUUCAGAAUUCAUGCUCAAGCAAUGAUUUCAUAUUUCAUUGGGACCCUGGAUUUUUUAGUUGCCUCUAAAAGUUUGGUAACCUUCUCGAUUGUUGGUGCAAUCCUUAUAAACAUAGAUCAGUGACACUCUAGUCUUUCUCACCUUUUUUAGAUGUUGCCUUCUGAUGAUAAGUUUGAUAUUAUUGUAAGUCCCAAAAUCUUUUAUGCAGCUCAAGCCAAUCUUGAUUCUGGGCACAUUUUUGUCAUAAGAUUGAUCUAUAACUUAAACCUUCCAACUUCAUUGGGCUGUUGGACACUUUUGAGACUGUUAGUUGCCCCUUCGAGGACAAUCGACGACGAGUCAAAUGGAACAGAUAAUUGAAGAUCAAUUUUGAUGCCUCUCUCCUCCUGUUCAAGAAUUGGUAUAAUUCUCACAAGUUGGUUGCAUGAUUCUACUAGCGAAGUUUUUGUGGAUUGCACUCCAUUUUGGCAGGCUUUAGGACUUUAAACUACUUCACUGAUUAGAAAAUUUCUUGAACCAGGGUGCUUUAUGUUUUGAUUCUGGAAAUGCAAUUUUGGUUGUUGAGCGUGCACGAUCGAUUAUACCAAAAUAUGGUUGUGUUCUUCUGUUAUAUGUGAAUAAGUCAUGGUUUUGUUCAUCUUCGAUUUAUGCAAAUAAGUUGGUGAUGACUUGGAAGUAUUUGUUAGAGUUUUUGGGUAAUGAACAGCCAUUGCUAAAUUAAUAUAGGGCGUGCUUCUUCUUAUAUGAAUGAAUCCAUGGUUGAGAUGGUAGUGUUGUUAGGGACUAGAGAUAAUGGACAACCAUUCACAGUCCAAAAUAAAAAAAUGGUAAGCUAUUGGGAUAAAGGGCUAGCCCAAGCUUAUAAAUCUAUGUGGCAUCUUUUUUUAUUAGUCUUUGUGGGACUAUAACAAUCUUUUCCGCCCAACUUUAUGAUGCAACUUAUCAUGGAUUAGCUUCUACUUGAGGGGAGGGAGGGGGCAUCUGACUGAUAAAACUAUGAUGCACAUUAGGCUUGGUCCUGAUGCCAUAUGCCAUAUCCUGCUUUCUCGUUGCUCGCUUAAACCUGAAACGAUUUCGAACGGGUCUAAACCUGUAAUAUUAAGCUCGGCGGACCAGGUCAGAUCUAAAAUAUGAGCCUGCUUAUCAAAUGGGUCGAGCUUAGAUUUACAUCAGCUCGGCCUGAAUGUUGUAUGAUAUAAAAUAAAUCACCUUUUUCUCGUGGAUUCUUUUCUCAUGGAUGCCCCCCCCUCUCUCCAAAUAAAAACCCCUCCCACCUCUCCCCCUCCUGCCAUCGACGCUUCUCUCUAAAACCUUAGCCUCUUGAAGAGCUUCCACAGCCUUCGGAAGAGCUUCUACCAUUGCUCUACCACUAAUCAUGUUGCUGCUGACUGUGUUACCGCUCUUAUUGACAUUGCUUGCUGAGAUGAUGCACUUGACGUUGUGGAGCAUGUCACGCUGAGUCUCCUCCAUACGGUUGUCAAGGAGGAGAAGCAGGGGAAGGCGGUGGGUUUUAUAAGAUCGGGGUAGCAUUUGUGAGGAUGCUGGUGAGAAAGGGGAAGAUGGGGAUGGUCAGGGAGGUGAUGGCUGAGAUAGAGAGGAUCUGCAGCGAGUUAAGCAGGAUGCGGAUGAUGGUGGUGUCAUUGGAAAGGAGGAUGGAGGAGGCUGAGCUAGGGGAAUCACUGGCGAGAGUGAGCGGUAUCAGCCAAGGUAUGCGAGAAUUCGACGGUUAUCGACGUUAUUAAGACCCGUCGUUCGAUGUUGGAAAUCGGAUUGGAUCAAGUCGAGGAGUGGGACUUAGGCCAUCAGAAAGCUCGAUACAUGGCUUGAAGCCCAAAGCCCAGGUGAGUACUCGGGUGGGGCUGGAAAGUAGGCUCGAAGGUUGGGUUAGGUAGGUUCUGAGCGUUAACUAAUUUUAGUUAUACCUUGAGCUGAGCCUAGCUCGAAUAUAGCCCGGCCAAUCCGUUGAACAAUAUAAAAGCUUAAGCUAUUGGGUGGAGGAUCUAUGCAGGCUUAUAAAGUUGUAUGAUGCCUUUUUUUAUUGGCCGAUGUGGGAUUAUGAUACAUGCCAACUAAAAUACCAUAUAGGUGUGGUUCUUCAUAUUUGAGGACUAGUUUAUCAUUUGUGGCUAAGAAAUAAGUCUACCAGGUUUAUGCAUCAUAUGAACCUAAGUUGUUGGAGUUACCAUGAACUAGUCCCUCGAAUGGCGAAAGGUAUAUUAUGAUGAUGAGGACGGAGCACACCCUAGGGAUACAGCAAGUGCUGAAUCGUUGAUUGGUUUCCAUCUAGAUCGAGUCCAUCUUAGCUUUCUAUCAUCAACUUUUCAUGUAGAAGCAUUGAGCACUUGGGAGUAGGUCUGUAAAAAUUAAUCAUGAGUGCAUAGAUUCUGUUUCAAAGGACCAUUUCUGAUUAACAAACAACACUUUAUAAUCCAUAGCUUCCCAAUAUGAAAUACCCUUUUAAUGUACCAUAUGAUCUGAUUAUCAACCUUCAUUUAGGGAAAUAAGCUAUUCAGUAUCCAAAAGAGAGGCCGACUAUGUAAGUAUGUAAACAUUUUACUGGUGCCUCGAUCGUGUGGUUAAAUAGAUGACAUAGUUCCUUUGGUGGCUGUGGCAUCAUUUUCCAAGACAACGUCAGGAGUUAUUUUGUCUUUGAAAUUGCGAAACAUGAUUUGGUUCAGACGUUUGAUGCGUGCUAUGGUGGUUGGCAGCUGGCUGAGAGCACAACGUUUAACAAGCCAAAAACUCGCUGGCUCCCCAUCUUGAUAAAUGCAUCUACUCAGUAUACGACAUCCAUUUGAUUGUCCUAAAGUUUUAAAGCAACUCCAGAAAAGUGCUCGCCCAAGGGAAGUUUGAAGCACUAGUAGUCCAAUUUAUCCGAUCAUCACAUAUAGUUCAAGCACCUGGCCAAGCCAUCGGCUCGCAGUUCGAUCAAAAUAUGAUGCUUUUGAUCUGAGUGUUCCCAUGGCCAAUACCAGUCAUGCUAGGAAGAGUACUAGGUAAAGAAAUAAUUCUGCCUAGAAAAUAGCCUGUCAAGAACCAGCAGAAUACAACUAAUAUAAAAUCCUGCGAGCACAAGAAUUAAUUUAAGCACCUUUUAAUCAAUACCUUGAUUUGAGCUACUCAACAAUUCAACAGUCGUAUAUCAAAACAAGAGUAGGGGAUAUUCUCAAAAAUUUAAAUGAUGAUUUAAACGAAGAAGAUUAACACACUCAAUAAUUGUCAUGAAAUAUAUAAACUUUAAAUAUCAAAGCAACCAAAAUCUGCGAGAACAUUCUCGCAAUAAAACCUUACAUAAAUCAAAAUUAUCAAAAAGUUCAUAUCACCUUCGGGGAGAAAAUCUGUAUCUCCUAGCUAAAGCAACCAAUUUGCAGUUUUUCCACGUCCCUCGCAGCACAACAUCUGUAUUUCCAUAGCAUAACAGCACAAUCAAAAUAGGGGCACGUAGACCCUCCAGCAAAACUGCCCCUAGAAAAGCUUGUUCUCACCUAAUUUACAGUCAAGAUCUUAAUCACAGAUGCAAUUCCAAUCCGAUGCAAUGCCACAACAGAAUCUCCUGCCUUGCAGAGACCCUUGACCUUAGCAUGCUGAAUGGCAAAUUCCAGUGCUUCGUCAGUGGACUCUGUGUCAGAGGCCUUUGCAGUUGCAGCACUCAAGACCGGAAUCAAUCCUCUAAAGAUCAAGCUGUGCCUUGCAGGAGCCUCGUUGCUGCAGGACCAAUCAAAAGAAUCAGUCUUCAACUCAGGAACCACAACUGAUAAUAUCGGCAUCGCAGGCCUGUACUUGGCAACCAGCUUCGCGGUGCUUCCUCCCCUGGUCAGGACCAGGAUUAGCGUUGCUUUAGCAGAGUUCGCUGUUCGGACAGCGGAGGAUGCAAGGCUCUCUAAUGGGCUCAUUGGUACUGGUGCUCUCGCCAUAAUGCCUUUGAAAACAGCUUCAUGAUCCAAGUAUGAUUCUGCUUCCAAGCAAAUCUUGGCCAUAGUCUGAACUGCUAGCUCUGGGUAAGCCCCAGCAGCUGUCUCUCCACUGAGCAUCACACAGUCGGUGCCGUCCAGAACUGCAUUAGCCACAUCGGUAGCUUCAGCUCGGGUUGGGCGAGGAGAUUUGAUCAUGGAUUCCAACAUCUGGGUUGCUGUCACAACAGGCUUCCCUUUCAUGUUGCACUUGAAAAUCAUCACCUUUUGAGCAUAGAAGAUCUUCUCAAUUGGAAUUUCCAUCCCCAAAUCUCCUCGUGCCACCAUGAAAGCAUCUGUAUUUGCAAGUAUGUCAUCAAAGUUUGCCACCCCUUCUUGAUUCUCAACCUGCAAGUAUUCAUAAUGAAUAUAAAAACUCCGAAUUGUGUAUACAAUUGUAUAGUUUGCAUAUCUGCAUUAGAAUUCAGACAGUUCAACAAACCUUCGACAUCAGCACAAUUGUCUUUGCAUGAUCUCCGAGCAGCUUUCGGACCUCCACAAGGUCAGAACCUUUGCGCACAAAGGACAAAGCAAUCAUGUCAAUCUUGUUAGGGACUCCCCACUUUAGGAUGUCUUCCUUAUCCUUCUCCGUUAGUGUAGGAAGAUCCACAAUGACUCCUGGAAGAUUGACAUUUUUCCUUUCACCAAGAGCAGCUGAAUUCUCGCAGCGGCAGCAAACCAAGCCUGCUUCCUUAUCACAAGAAAGCACUGUAAGCGUGAUUGUCCCAUCAGAGCAGAGUAUGACACUACCUGGCUUCAAAUCCUCCGCUAACUUCUUGUAGCUCAUGGAUAUCAUGUUCUCGUCGCCCUUUAUGCUGUAAUCUGUGGAGAUAGUGAUCUCCUGACCCUUUUGAAGGCGAAUGGGCUUUCCAUCUUUCAGAAAUCCAGUUCGGAUCUCUGGACCCUGCAGCAUUAUAGAUUGGAAUCUUAUAAGCAGUGAUAUGCAUUUUCUCAAGCAACAAGAUGUUGCAAUUAAAAAUCUGGUAGUUACAACAUCAAUGAGCUCUUUACAUCUUCACUGCAUGAAAUUGACCCCCAAUCUAAUACUUGAACCCUGUUCAAAUAUAGGAAUUAUGUGCUCAUUUUUCAGACUCACACAAAACUCAGUCAGUCAGUAAUUUGAUAACAAUAUUUUUCAAUUGUAUUUUUCUCUCUCAGUUCCAUCUUCCAUCCUAAGCAAAGUUCCUCAAAAUUAUCAUUGCUAUUGCCAUCAAUUUCUUCCUCAUUUUACACCCAGUCUACUACAGAGGCCAAAACCACAGCAACGUCUAGGUUAUGCCGUACAGUAAAUAGCCUACAUAAAACAGAGACUCAGCAACAACAUAUUAUAUCUUCUCCUUAUUUAGAUCUACAAGUCACGAUGUAACCAUGCUGUCUACUUGCAAAAAAUAAGUAGGAUAAUCUAAACCAACAUCUGAUCAGAAAUUGAAACACGACCUUCAAGAAAGCAAUCUGGCCCAUAUCAGUAACAGUAAACCUGAGCAAAUUCUUUUCCCCCUCAAGUUACAUAUAUACGAACAAAUGAAAAUAAAAAAUAAAGAAAUGAACUGAAUUUAAGACAAUUCUAUUAAGAACCUAAAGGAAAUUAAAGAUAGAGCAAUCAGAUCAUCAACUGCAAGUUAAAUGAGAUGUAACUUGGUAAGGAGACGGUGAGUAACAGAGUAUCAAUAGGUCCAAUAUCCUAAUGAAAUAUAAACCUCCAGAAAUCAUCUCCUAAAAUCAAAUACAGCAUGCAAAUGGUUGAUGAUGAUGAUGAUGUGACAUCCUAUGCCAACCAGACGUUUAUUAUGCGUAAAAAUAGAAGUUCAGAAAUCGAAGUCUUGUGCAGUUCAUCAAUAUAACCACAUACAGCAAAGCACUGUUAAUUCCGCUGUCCACCGAAAAAUAAAAACGAUAAAAUAAGGGCAGAAAAACAACAAAGAUAUCAAAAUAAAUGCAAGAAAUACACCACAUCAACUCGAGAAAGAAUACUGGUUGUUAUAUCUUGGCAUGAAAAUAAAUAAACAUGGCUGAAAACCCGAAACCAGAGUAAAUGAGGGUUGACGAUGAGAGAAAACUCGAUAUGCAACAAACAAUAGCAUUCCUAGCGUGAUAAAACUUAAAUUUUGGAAUCAUAAUAAGCUUCAUAUUAAUUAGACUUUCAAAUUAACCAUAGAUAAAUCAAUAAAUAUUAAAAUGGGAACCGACUAAGAAGUUAAUUAUUAAAAAAAAGGACAAAAUAUUAAAUGGAAAGAUCGUUAGAACAGUUAUAAAAAAACAAACUCAAAAUUAUAACUCGAUCAGAUCUAUAAAUCGGAAAACAACAAGACGCCAAGGAGAAUUUAAAGAAUAAAUACCCAAAAAUCCAAAACAUGAACAGAAAAAUUCGAAGAUCCCGCCCCCAUGUCGACAUCCCGUCACAAGGGGGAAGAGUCAAAGGCCUUACCUUGGUGUCGAGCAUGACGGCGCAGAGGAUCCCCGUGUUGUCCAUCGCUGUCCGGAGGUUAUCUAGGGUUUCCUGGUGGUAGGCGUGGGAUCCAUGCGAGAAGUUGAACCGGGCGACGUUCAUCCCCGCCCUCAAAAGCUUCUCGAUCAUCGGCACCGACCUCGACGCCGGCCCCAGCGUGCACACGAUCUUGGUCUUCGGCCUCGUCCUCACCUCCGCCAUUCCUUCCGCCUUAGAUCAACACAGAACCGGCGACAGAGAUCAAAAAGGAGAGAAUCUGGAGCUAGAGAAAAGAAUCCUUAGAAAUGGAGAUCGAUCGGAGAAGAGGAGAGGAAGAGGACAAAGGCGUCUCUUUUCCUAUCUCCCAAGUUUUCUAGCAGUCGACGAUGAAAAUGAAGUCGCGAACAAAGCUUAAAAAGCCCCGGGUCGCCUUCCAUUUUAUAAUGGGGACCGGGAUUAUGGUGAUCCGGCGGAGCAGCUAGGGGGUUGGGUGUCUCGCCCUAGGAGGGUAGGGGGGAAUCUAUGGGUGAUUUGCCGGGGGAUUUGGGGCGGUGAAAACGAUGGGAGCCGUCGGUUUUGGGGGAAACGGUGGAUGAUGGGGGGCUCGACGCUUUCAGAAGAUGGCAGGAGAGUGGUGGGCCAAUGGAACAUUCUGUGGUCAUUGGACCAGGGCGGUGUUCUUGGAAGCGGUGGUUUUGGACGGUGGAGGCUAAUUUUGGAAAGUCCUCGUGCUUUGCAUGUCGUGCAAGCAUUGCGGUUCUGGUUGCCAUCCCUUCCCACUGCACGUGCAGGAAAAAGAAUUCCACAUUUUGAAAUCUCAUAUUAUUUUUUUUGAAAUAAAAUUUUUGUGUUCACAUUAUUAUAUUUUUUUUCCAGAAAUUUCAUGGCGAUGCGACUAUGGCCCGUUUGGUUCGCGGGAAAAGAAGGAGGAAAAAGUGUGGUCAACGAGAAAGUAAUUAAAUAUUUCUUGUUUGAUUGAAGUUUUUAAAGGAGAGAAACAAAAAAGUUGUAUUUUCAUAAGAAUAUGAUUUCCAUAUUUCAUGAAAGAGUCUUUCCCAUGAGAAACAUGAAAAAAUUACUUUUCCAAAAAAAUCUUUUAGCAUUAAGGAAAGCAUUAAAUACCUAAUUUUUAUUAAAGACAUAAUAGAAAUUAUACAUAACUUUUCCAAAAAAGUAAAUGGUCAACCAAACAUAAGCACUUUAAAAAUUUGUCACUUUUCCAUGGUCAACCAAAUAUACCAAAAGUACUUUUCUAGGCAUCAUCUUCUUAGGAAUUUGUUUUCUAGAAAUCAUAUUCAUAGAAGGAAAAAUGCUUCGCACGAACCAAACGAACCCUAUUAGAAUUGAAUCUUACGCUCAUUGAACAUCUAAUAAAAUAUAUUUUAAUUUAUUAAUUUAAUUAAACAUAUUUGUAUUUUCUACUAUUUAAUUUUUUUUUGAGAAAUAUAAGUUUGAUGGGCAUGCAGGUUGCACUAGCUAUGGAAUGCUGUAGAUGGCAUGCAACGCUGCAAGGUGUGGAAGUUCAUAAAACCAACACGUAAAAGUAGGCUUUGGGUGUUGUAAAAGGCGUGCAAUAAUGCUGCAUGCAUGCCCAGAGAUGAUCUGGAUGCAUGAUGCAUGCAAACACAGGAGGCGGUUUGGCUAUCCACCAAUGAUGAGUGUUGGGGGAAAAUCCAAGUCGUCUCGGAACAAAGACGCCGACCAGAAGGCGUCCGACCAGAAGGCGCCAACCUUAUUACGCUCGAACUAAGGGCGCCCGACUCGGCAACUGCCUCGGCUCGGCACCCGACCAGGCGCUGAAUUCCGAAAUGCCUUGCCUAAGUAUUCGACCCCAGCUUAAGCCCUUAAAGGAGCCUUACUCCAGAUACUCAAUCUCACCAUAUCCUGCUACCGUCGUCAAGCCAUAAAUACACAUGGCCUUUGCAGGCCUCCGGCACACCCGAUCAUUAAUGCGCGUGGCCUCUGCAGGCCUUCGGCGCACUCAACCAUUAAAUGAAUAUGGUUCAUGAUGAUCUCCGGUUCACUCAACGAUUAAAGCGUAUGGCUUCUGUCGUCUACGGACGUCGAGCCUCUUGCGGCAAACCCACUUAAUCGCUGAUGAUGGCAUGACUCGACGACGACUUGAGGGCUCCGGCCUGAUCUCCAACAGCAACGGUGUUGACUCACACGAUCGAACAUUAAUUCUACUGCAUGCCAGACUGUACGACAGGCCGAUUGCCCCGUCACAUCAUAGGUAACCCAGCUCCCUCUAUAAAAGGGGAACUCCCCCAUUUGAGGAGAGGGAGGACUCCGACUUCUUACCGCUAUCUCCAUCCCCAUACAGACCCCUGACUGACUUAACCAUCGGAGGGCCGGCGCCGGAGAGCCCGGCCACCGGCUUCUUGCAGGUCUCCAGGAGGACGCCGCCCGCCGACGCGCCGCCACCCAGGUAGCGGAGCUCCUCUUCUUCAGCCGACGGCCGGCCCCGGGUCCAAUUUCCAGCAACAGUGAGUCAGGCAUGCAGGAUGCUGCACAUCACAUGUACUAUAGCCAUCCAUGCCUCAGUGAUGGGGCAUGCACUUAUGGCGAGCUAAACCCAUUCUGCCAGGAUGAUGAUGCACAUCCUGGGAGGUUCAGGCUUUUGCUAUAGAAGGCAUGCAGAGUAUUACAAGGUAUGGAAGUUCAUGAAAUUAAUAAAUCGAACGAGGCAUGACACUCGCAUCUUAUUUACGCUAAUAUUGCCUUGAUACAUGCAACUAACUUGAAAUAAGGAGUCAUAUAUAUAUAUAUAUAUAUAUAUAUAUAUAUAUAUAUAUAUAUAUANNNNNNNNNNNNNNNNNNNNNNNNNNNNNNNNNNNNNNNNNNNNNNNNNNNNNNNNNNNNNNNNNNNNNNNNNNNNNNNNNNNNNNNNNNNNNNNNNNNNNNNNNUUUGAAAUUUGAAUGUCUUCAUUUCUUGGGAAUCCAAGUAAAAGGAUUCUAGUUUAUUUGACCCGAUGCUCUUUUUGAGGGAGUGUUCAUACAAUAAAUUGGCGCCCAAGUUCUCGAGCACAUUCCCUGCCUUUCUUCCCAUCACCAAUGGAUCUCCUUUGACUCGCUUUUCUACAAUUUCGGUAUCUGUGUAUUAUUUUCUAUUUUCCUGUAUUAAUAUUUUUCUUCUUGCUAUAUGCACCUUAGGUUAAGUUUGCCAAAUAACAAUGGAAUAUUCUGCAUUCUUCUAACCGUGUUAAUUUUAUAUCUUUUAAAUAUUUUUGCCUCUUCUCAUAUUUAACCGACUUCCUAAUGCAAUGAUUGAUUCCCUAGCGACAAAAUUGAGCGAGAAGAAGAUGAAGUGAAUGAGGAAAGAUGGAGUCUCAAAACUCAUUGACAGUUUAGUACAUUUUUAUUGUUUGUUCGAUUUGUCCAAACGGACAACAUCUUUUAUAUAGUUAAAAAAGAUAGAGAUUAGUAUGCAAAUAUGAAUAAUUUCGGAGAUUGAUUUGCAAUAAAUCUUUAAAAUAAUGGUUGUUAUAACAGUCUUGGAUUUUCUUAUAUAUAAUAAUUGAAAGAAAGAUAGCAACUGUUGGCUCACAAAUGAAGGUUAUUUGGCACUUGCAUUGUUUUUUGCUAAAAUAUCAUUUUCCCAAAUCUUUUUUUUUUCAAAAACUUCACUUAAAAAUGUUUGCAUUAUAAAAAAUAUUUAUUAUUGAAAUGUUUAUUAUUGGUGAUUUUUCAUUAAUUCCAUUAUAACAGAAAUAACUAUUGAUUUGAAUAAUAAUAUUCUUUUUUGGUUAUUAUUUGCUAUUUUUCAUCUCAAUUACAACAAUCAUUAUAAUAAUAAAUAUUUGAAUAUUAAACAAUUCCAAACUGUACAUAAUGCGCCUAAUAAAGGCUAUCAUAAUUGUUACAACAAUCAGUAAUAGUUUCAAUAAAGAUAUAUUAUAACAGAAUAAUCAAGAGCCUCUUAUGUCACUUCCAAGCUGCCGUGUCACCUCCAUUCUUCCACCAUUGCUGACAUUUAUCAGCCUCUUGAGAUUCUCAAACUACAAUUUUAAUAUUCUAUUUGAGAUCCUUUUUUCUAUUUAUGUUAUUUGUUUUUUAUAUUUAUCCAUCCAAUGUAGAAGUUGAUAAUCUACGUUACGUUACUGCACCUGGCUCUGUAGUCUUUGCAAGCACAACUUCCACCGUUCUAACAUAAAAAAGAUGGCUCCAUCUUAAGUUUCGUCAUCUGCAAGUUAUGCAACAACAAUCAUAAAACCCCUUUUUAUACGUCCAGAUUGAAUUAAACUCAACCAAAAAUCAUUUCAUUCACUUCAAGUUUUUCUAGAAGUUGAAAAGAAAAACAUCGAUAGCUAAAGAGCACCACCAUAAACUACAGCAGAAGCACGGAAACAGAAACGAACUAAAUCAUAACAGCAAAGAAGAAAUAACCACAACAAUCACAUCCUCGCGGCCCAUUCACCUCAAAAGCCAUAAACACCAAAAACAAGACUACCCUGCAAUCUCCAUAACAUAUAAAAUACAUCCUCUUAGUUUAACAAUCCUUUUCAUUACAUGUUGACCUCAGCCAGUUCUUAGUUUGUAUUUUCUACUGGGGUUUCUUGAGAUCUUUGGAAACAUCGCAGGUUCCAAUGAUGACCAAAUGGAGCUACAGUUCUGUUUCUGAUACAUCAAACGUAAGGAUGUCAGGCUAUAACAAACUAGUUUACUAACAUUAAGUUUAUCUUGUCCAGACGCACCAAAUACUAUGUAGUAAUUGCUAGUGAGAGCUCAGAUUGAUCAGUAGUACAUGUGCAUCAAGCUCAUCUAAAUAAAUUAAAAAACGAGUUGCUUCGUUGCUCUUCUCUAUUCUCAAUCACCACUUAUGAUGGAGGGAAACAAAAGAAUUACAACAGCGGCAUGAAGUGAGCUCGAAAACCUUUAAAUAUCGGAGAUCGCUUCAUGACAUCCAAUCAUCAUCUGGCCUACAUGGGGCUAUCCCAAACUUCUCUAUAGUUCCAACAGAAAAGGCUUCUCAUGAACUUCCUAAGCUGAAAUGAGUGUGACUAUAAACUCUUUUUGCAUGUUUCACUCUGCAAAUUGUGCAGAACUUCAUAGCUCAUCAUGACCAGAGGGUUGACUUGUGUUCAUAUCUUCAAGUUUCUGCUGCAGUUCCUGUCACAGAUACCAGGAUUUCCCUAUAAGAUUCAAGUCACAAGAGGAGGCAAAUCAUAAUAAUCAAGAUCGAGCAAGUACCUUUAGCUUCUCUUCUAGACAUACGGCUGGAGUUGAAAGUAUAGCUACAUACCUGAUACGGGCAACAUUAAACAUGAGAAAAGAUUCUUAUGAGAAGAAAGGCUAGCGAGAUGGAAGAUAUGCAUACUCGCAUCGGCUUGGUUCAUCAAUGUCCGCAAGCUCAUCUUUCAAUCCACACCUAAGUCUCACCUGUAUAAAACUUGAGCAAUCAGAACUAUUGCCUUAACAAAGCUCAGACAAGGUUGAUUAGGGAAUUCAAACAAUACCUUUAGACUUCUAUCGGGGCCAUUCCAACACCUAUCUCCAUUGGAAAAUAACAUGACUCUGUAUGACUCCUCAAAUUUAUCCCAGUGCCUGCUUAAAUAAAAUGAGAUAACAUCCAACCACAUCGACUAGACUAUACUUUCAUCUUGCUAGAAUGUGGCAUGAGUGCUACCGUGCCAUACCGUAAUAUGAUCCAGGAGCUUCUAGUAACAUUAUAUUUCUUAGAAGUUAAAACAUAUAAAGAUCCUAGGAAAGACCCAUAGAGGGCCCAAGAUAUUCAAAUACAGGUUAAGUUAGGCCAAGUUAUGCAGCUCUCAAUACCCUACCCUUAGUGUCAUCUCUACAUAUUCUCUUUUGAUGUGAUUAAAACAUUCUAUUCUUAUAAUUGUCAAAGAAGACUUCAUUUCAAAGACAAAAAAGGUCCCAAACUAAGACACCAAUAAGUACUUGGUAUAACAGUCAAUAGUCACGGCUUCUAUAUCAUUAUUUUUAAUGCUUCUAUGGACACAAAUGAACGUUGAAAUGUCAAAGAACAUGAAGGCCCUUCAGCUAGUAUACUGUUGGUAUCUAAUGUGAAAAUUUCUUAUUAAGUGUUGAGAGCACAUUUGUCAAGGAGGAUGAGUUAUCAAUGAGAUAUAUUUUUUUGAUAUAAACAAAGAAUCUCAAGAACUUACCCCAAUCGGGUGGAACUGUGCCCUUCGACCUGGGAGGCUUUCUUAAAUGGACAGACCUUAUAAGUGUACCUACCGACAAGAAUUUCCAAAAGCCACAAUUAUAUGAUUAAAAAAAAAAGAACAGCAAUGCAAGUUCAUCAUAAGAACAACUAAAAGGAAUGUUGUAUAUAGUAUACAUACUUAUUCUGCUUGCUCUCAAAGCAACGAUCAUAGAAUGAAUAAAAUUCUUUAUCCUUGCCUAGCAAGAAAAUACCCAACUUCAGAAAACUGUUGCUGUCUGUCUAACUCAAGCCAUGAACAUGACCAUAUUCAUGCAUAAAUGAUCAAAGAAAUAUAACAGAACCAAUGUAUUUUACAAACUACUUAUUCUGCACUUACAAAUUAAUAUAAACACAUAAGAUUCAUAAGGUCUAUCACCUUAUAGACAACCAUAUUAUGACAACAUAGAAGUUUUUCUAUUUGCACUAUCAUCAAGCAUUAACAAAGUUGUGCAUUUGAUCUCGUGGCCUAAAAGUCAGUUUACUGCACUAUCACAAGCAGCUUGAAAAGCAAGCCUACCUGCUAAUUGACAACUAAAAAGGUACCUCUGCUCAUCCGAGCCUCUUUAGACAUAUAAAACCUUUUAGGCAAAAAUAUGCUUGCAACCCUGUGAUGUUUCUGAAGUGCAUCAGUGCACAUGGUAUGGAAAAAAUCUCUGCAGCCUCACAUCUCACAAUAGUUUUGUCUCACAAUUAACAGGGGGUGGUGAUCAUAUUAAUUUUCCAAUCAGCAUACCUAUUACAUGUAAAGAGAGCUGCAAGAUUGUUUAUAUAGUUUCGACUUUGGAGGAUGUUUCUUCUAUCCUUAAUAUGUCUUUUCUAUCCUUCAUUUUUAUUCCUGUUUUCUUUGAUUCUUGUAAUAUUCUUAAACCCAGAAGAAAACUUUAAAUAAUUAAAAGAUAUCCAGCUCGGUAUGGAAGCACCUAAUCAAAGGGAAACUGCGCAUACAUCAGCUGCAUGGCUAAAACCCAUGGCUUAAUUUGGUCACAUCAUGAUCGAUCAAAAUCAGCCAGCAAUUUAUUUUCAGUCAUCAAUUAUUAUAUGCUUUGAUGAAGAUUUUGGCGCAUAGAAGGGUGCCUUUAAGAAGAAAAAAAAAUGAAAAUGUUUCACUUCUCUCCAACUAUCAACUUUGCCUAGCUCUCUCUCAGUUUCUUUGUCACUGCAUGGUAUCAGGCUAUGAUAUGUUCUUGUACAUUUUGUACAUUUGCAUUUAUGUAUCUCUUGUUAGCCAUUUUGGUGUUAAUAGUGGACAUUUUACCAUUUAUAUCAUAGAUUGGACAAAAGAAUUGCAUUAUACAUGCCUUGUGUAUCUUGCAAGGACAUGCUGUAGUUGUGGGCUGCAAUUUUACAUCUUCAAUAUUAAACUACAAGCAGCCUCAAAGGGAACUAAUAAUUUAAGUUACUAACCACUAUUGAGUCAAACCAAGCAUAUCAUAUGAAGUGAUCUUGGUGUGGAAUUUCAUAAUGGUGGAGGAUGGUGAACUAGAUGAGUCUCAAAAAUUUCGUGUCCUCAUGGAUCUCUAAUUCUCUUUGCCGUAACCUUGGAUAAAGCCACAAGUCCACAUACACAACCUCUCAACAACAAAAGGCAAAUGUCCUCCUAAACACUGCCCUGAGGCUGAUCAUGUUGAAGAGAGCAUUGAAAAGGUAGGAAACUAUGAGCUUAUGUUGCAACCACACAUAAUAUGCAUAUGAGAGCACAGGCAAGAUAUUUAAAAGUAUAAUAUGAUAAAAAAAAAUCAGAACAAAAACCUCUAGGAAAUCUAACACUGCAUGAUAAUUAUCAAAACCUAACCUGCCCCCCCCCCCCCCCAACCUUUGAUGGUAAAGCAGGAUGAUAUUCACUAUGACAAAAAAAAUCUUAUCAUAUUCACACUGACUUCACAAACAUGCCAACAUGAUGUACCAAUGAGAACAGACGCUCAUGACUAAAUCAACUUCUUACUGUAACUUACCAAAAUCAUGUUUCAGCUUUUCAUUCAGACUGGAUAUUCUUGACUGAAUUUUGGACAACUUCGAGCUUAAGUCAUCAUAUUCCUUUCGGACAGUAGCAGCUUCUGGAUAAAUUAAAACACAAGAUUGCAUGAUUCUCAUCGCCACUCGUAUGAUUUUGCAAAGAAAAAAUAAUACCUGAUAUGUUCACUGGACGUCUGAAAAGGCUGAAAGCUUGAAGAACAUUAUUGACAGUCUGUUGAAUCUUGUCCAGCCAUGAUGAGCUACCAGAGACAGUUAAAUCUAAAAAGAAAUGGACAACGAUUAGCACACACAUAAACACCUCUAACAUGUUUUCUAAGCACUAAACAGUUAAGUGUCAGAGUGAUGGAAAAUUAUGGUUGCUCUCUUGGGAAAACUAGAAAGAAAAACCUGAAUAGUCAGCUUUGUCAUCUUCAUCAGAACUGUAGGCACCAGUAGGCUCUUCAUGAUCCUCUCCAAAUUCUGUAUGUGGGUCAUCUUCCAAAUCAUCAUCCUCAAACUUAUGAUCUUCAUCACUAUCUGAAUUAUAGCCAUCAUGAUUUUCUUCUGAUUCAUCUUCAUCAUGUUCAUGUCCUUCUUCUUUUGCUGUAUUAACUUCAUUGUUUUCUUCUGUAGCAUCUUCCUGAGUCCAGCGAGACGCUACAAGACGACCCAGCUCUUCUCUCGACAAUCCUUCAGUGCUGUCAGAAACUGGCCCCUGCAAGUUUAGAACAUAGAUGGUUAAUGCCAAAAUACCAAUCCAUGAAAAUUGACAUGUAGACUCUAGCAGGAAUUCAUAAACAGAGUUCUUUCUUCUGAUGUGAGCAGCUAACAAACCAUAAAUCAAUACAAAUAUCUGAAGCAGCAACAGCACACACUUCAAACCGGUUUUCAUUUUGUUUCAUAAGAGAGCAAACCAAGGAUCCAUAUUAAAUGCAUAAGGUUAACAAAGAAAAUAAUGUGAUUAUUCUAGCAAGAGAGGAAUCAACUUCCUUUCAACUUCAAUUGGUUCUUCAUUGAUCUUGUUGUUAGAUAACAGAUAUCCUAAUAUUGGCUACAAAUAUAUUUCAAACAACAGUUUUUUCACAUAUAAGUUCGUAAAAUUUUUAAAAAAAAUGUAGGAAAUUAUAGAUGCAAUAUCAUGUAAUUAAAUUCUUGAUACCCUGAGUUACCUAGUACAUCUGACAUCUUGCAAUCAUUGCUCAUGACAUCAUACUUCCAUCAAAUGUUGGCCCUUCCAUGAUUAAUAGAACAAGAUUUAUUCAAGCAGAAAACUGAACUACAAUGGAAACAAAUGCAACUAAUCACAGAAAACUGAACUUUUCCAGAUUUAAUAUCCCAUCUCUAAAUCCGCCAUCUUAUUAUCAUUGCUUGAGACAUCAUGUUUCAAUCAAAUAUUGGCCCUUCCAUGACUAAUAGAACAAGCUUUGUUCAGGCACAAAACUAAAGCACUAUUGAAACAAAUGCAACUAACAAGAGAAAAUUGAACUUCUCCAGAUUUCAUAUCCCAUUUCACAAAUUACCUUAGGAACUCUCAAUUAUUUCUACUGUUUCUUGCUGAACACGUGAUGACAAAAAAAUAUGCCUUGCAUAUGGACUGUACUUAUAGAUUAAAUUGUGAGGAUGUGUACCUAAAUAUUUUUCCAUUAUCAAUUAAGGAUGGCAUGAAGCAAUAAGUAACAUCAUUCAGAUAUUUCAAAUGUCAUGUGAUGAAACAAAUACAAUAAAUGUUAUGAUUUAAGCCCUUGACUACAUGUAGAAUUUUCAAUAGCACAAGCAGGCUUAGGCUUGAGAGAGAAAUAUGUGCCUGAAGGCCCUGAACCUCUGAACUCCAGUUGAAAUAAGUUUUUAAAAGUGCAAUUAGUUCAAAGUACAAAAAAUCCUUACACAGAAACAUGUUGACAAAAAAAAUAUAUACGUCUAGCCUACUAUAUGAUUCACUACUGUGCAAGUCUAAUGAGAAGAUGAAGGGACAUCUUUUGGUUUUCCCUUUAUGAGCAUGUUGACAAGUUUGCCGCACAUGUAUUACAAAUAAAUUUGAUGAUAAUCAAAUUCAGAAAUAAUUCUGUGAAGUUUCUGGUUCUUACCCAUCAAGGUUUUUUGUCAAAAUGUGAACAACCAACACAACUAGUAAAGUUAUCUCAAAGAUAUUUUAGAUAGUUGAACAAGUUCGACAUCAACACUCGACUGGAAAAUCUGCUGCAGUUUGACUUGGUGAAUAUAUCUAAGACACUUCAAUUCUUCAGAAUGAAGGUUGGAAGAACAAAAAUUGAUAAAAUGGAAGCAUCAAGAAUCAUGAUUUUGUAUUACCUGUUCUGCAACAUGCUAAUAGAAAAUUACAAAAGAACAUGGAAAAUAAUCAUUUUCCAUGUACAACUACAUAUUCUGUGAAACAACUAGGAGUUAUAUAAAACUGUUACCUGCUUUUCCACAUGACUGAAAGAUGACCCGUCACUUCUACCAUCAGCCUCAUGUCCAGAUUUGGCUAUAGUGUCAUCAUGAUCAUCAGCUACCUGCUUCAACAAGCAUGAAAACAAAUGCCAGUGAGAAAAAGAAAAGCGGGACAUCUUAUCGUUAAAAAUUAAUACAAAAACUUUCAGAUACCUUUCCCACUGCUUGAUUAUCAGAUAUCUCAGUUUCAGUAGUAUAAUCAUUUUUGUCUUCUACUGCAGAAUCAUGGUGAUCUUCCAUUGCAUCCUGUUAAUAAAGUCCAGAAUUAGGCUUUAGCAAAGAGGGUGUUACACAGCCAUGAACCCUAGAAGAAUAUGCACAACGUAAAACCAUUAAGCAACUGGUGGCAACUGAAAGGUCUUUAGAGUUUAAAACAGAGGCAAGAUGAUUAAUUAGGCAAAGAUAUAGCAGCAAACUUGAGUCCAUCCACUGUGUAGCUGAGUAUUGGCCUUACAGCAGACGCCAGCAGAUUGGGUGAGGAUCUAGUAGCUAAAACCUGUAGAAUGAAGAUUCAAGGCCAAAGCCUGGUCUGUCAAGACCAAACAGGCCUUUACUACUUUUUGGGGCACAUAUUCACUCAACUUCUUAAACUAGUUGCAGUAUUAAUUAGAACAUAUCUCACCACUAGCAAAUCAUUUUGGUUUCUGGGCAAAGUCAAGCAGGGGUUUUCAUAGAAGGGAUCUUAACUAGGUAGCAAUUUGAGUCAAUAAAUAAAUAAACAAAUAAAGGUCUGGUCAAAAUCAGGCCCUAAAAUAUAGAGCCAAACUUAGAUAAACAAAGUGCUAACAACCUAGCAGCAGCACUGAGCUAAAUGACAGGCACUUAGAAAAAGCAUGGGACAAUUUAUUAAUAUUAACUUAAGUGUAAAGUUUAAGAACAGAAUAGUGGCUUUUCAAGAAGAACAAGAUUGUGCAACAUCGACAGUGUAGACACUAUCAAUGUUAUCCUCUGAAUUUCACUGUCAGGUCUGAUGUCUGAAUUUCCUGUGUAAUGCCUUAAUAUCUUCAUCUCUUGCAUUUUACCAAUUCCCUUUUUCGUGACAAAUUUUAAAUAUUCAUCUUGGCCAACCAAACUGCAUCUAGUAGGAUGGUCUUAAACCUAUUAACACAGAAACAGGCAGCUAAAUCCUGAAACAGCAGCUGAUAAGAAAAUUAAAAAAUGGAAAAGGAAAUACCUAGAUGGGACAUGAUAUACCAACUAUGACUGCAGAGAACAUUGUUCACUUAAUUAUGACCACUAGCAAGUAUUAUACUGGUGGGAUCAUGGAAUGCCGUACCGGCCCGUACCGGCCGGUACNNNNNNNNNNNNNNNNNNNNAUCCGAACCGGCCGGUACGGGGCGUUACUGGCCGGUUCGGAGCCCGUACCGGCCGGUUCCGGCCUCGUACCGGUGCGAACCGGCCGGUUCGCACCGGACGAUUUUUUUUUUUUUUUAGAACCACAGCGCCGCGCGCUGUGGUUUUUGAAACCACCGCGUACCGGCCGGUACGGGACCGGUACCAACCGGUACGUACCGAACCGGACCGGUACCGUACCGGUCCGGCCGGCCACCGGUACGCCGACCGGUACCGGUACGGCGAACCUUGGGUGGGAUAGUGGGGUAUCCAACUGUCCUGAGUGUUAGGAGAGGAUGAGUCAGUCGGAAAAUGAACCGGAAUACGACAAGACAUCCACCAUCCCAAGUGUGGAGAUGCAGGGCAUCCCUUCCCACAGGAAACUGGGAUAGGCCGGCCCCACGGUAUACAAAACCUUGACCAAUAAUAUAUACUUUGAAAAUUAAAUUAAAAAUCUUUAAAAUUCUAAGUUGCAAUCAAAAGGUAUAUUGGAGUCCCUCUGUGUAAGAGUAAGAUCACUCAUAGAUUGUUGAAAUGAUCAUCUUUACCUGUUAAACAGACACCACUGGCAGUAGUGCCAAGUUGUAUGCAAAGCAUGCAAUGCAGCACUGUGGAUUCACAUCUUAUGCAUUGAAAAUCAGGAAGCAAAAGUACAAUAAACAAUUCUCACAUGCUGCUUUAAGAAAUUAAAAUGGUAGUAUAUUAGCAUAAUAAUAAUUGGUUUCCUUGCUGACUCACUGUUGCAUUUUGGUGAGAGUUCCUUUAGUAUCUUAUAGCAGGUUUUAGUACAUUUAGCUGAAGAGUUUGUAAAGGAUAUGUUCAAGCCGUACUUUAAGACUGGUGGUAAAGCAUAAAACUCUGUGAACAUAAAUUGUAAAAAAAAUUGACUAGAUAAUGCACCAAAAACCACAUUGAAUGAAGCAGUGCAAUAAAUACAUCGACCUGAUUAUGUAAUUCUGGAGCCUGAUCGGUGCUAUCAUGUGAAGAUUCCUUGGAUGCUUUCUUUAACUCAUUAGCUUUUGUUUCAGAUUCUUUGAGCCUCUUUUCUUCCUCUUCCUUUUUUUUAUGUUCUUCUUCCUCUGCCUUUUCAAUUCGUUCUUUUUGCUCUGCAUGGAAGGUCAAGAAAAAGCUUCUGUAAGAAAAGGGGCCAGUUCAUAGAUUUUACACUGUCAAACUUUCUUGUUCAAAUUAUUCAAACAAAUAAUAACAACAGAAAACCUUUAAGCUUCUGAACAAGCUCUUCGAGUAUCUUCUCUUCACUUCUAAGUUUUGACAAUUCGGCUUCAUCUUUAGCAAAUGCUUGUUUUGCUUUUUCUACUUCCUGCUUCCGAAUAGUAACUCCAUUCUGAAAUGUUGCUAUCUUCUUCUGCAGUUUCUCCCUGGCCACUUUACCGGCCUCCCAACAUGUGUUUGGACAGUUCACAUUGCCAUUAUAUUCAUCACUCCCAUCACAACAAUCUGCAUGUAAUGAUAUAAGGUGAAAAAAAGGGGGAUCAAGAACUAUAAAACUGCAGUACCGAAGAUUACAGUGGAAUGUACUUGUGAAGACACCACAAAAUAAUCAAAACUCAAGAACAUAACUUAUGAUAAAAGCAAUUAGUUGCACCAGAUUAAUCCAGCUCAAUAAAAUGUUAAACAAUCUGCCAUCAUAUGAAAUCUGUUUCUUGCACAAACCCUAUGUUAGAAAUCUCUCUCACACACAUUUAAAUCAUUGUAUAUUAAUCUAUGAAAGGGAAGUUACAGAUUGAGGGAAACACUUGUCAAAAUAACUUGAUAGAGCAUAUAAUGAUAUGCAUGAAAUUGCCAGUUAUGGCAUUUCAUGGGAUCUAAACUUAAUUGCAAUAACAAAUGGGCUACAAAGACAACUUUCAUCAAUUUAGUAGCUGGCUCAUACUAAGGAUGCAAUAAGCUACAAGAUGCAAGACCUAUGGAGCUCCUAGGCUAUAAAGUUAACAACCCCACAAUAUGAGCACCAACCUUGGCUUACAUAGAACAGAUCUAAUCAUCCAACAAAUCCAUGCAACUUCUAGAGGGGGGAAAAACUCUUGCUAACCCAGACCUAACAUGUCUCAAUAAUCAUAUGUAAGGUCGGCGGAAUCGGUACCGGGAUCUGUAGCAGUUGCCCUGCGGUAUAGUAUGGUAUGGUAUUAUGCCGUGCCAACUUGUGGUGUAUCGACAAAAGAGAGCCAGAGAGGGAAGGGGAGAGGGAGAAGGAAAGAGAGAAAAAGAGAGAGAAAGAGAGGGGGAGGGAGAGGGAAAGGGUGGAAGGGGGGGAGAGAGGGAGGGAAGGGGAGAGAGAGGGAGGGAGGGAGAGAGAGAGANNNNNNNNNNNNNNNNNNNNNNNNNNNNNNNNNNNNNNNNNNNNNNNNNNNNNNNNNNNNNNNNNNNNNNNNNNNNNNNNNNNNNNNNNNNNNNNNNNNNNNNNNNNNNNNNNNNNNNNNNNNNNNNNNNNNNNNNNNNNNNNNNNNNNNNNNNNNNNNNNNNNNNNNNNNNNNNNNNNNNNNNNNNNNNNNNNNNNNNNNNNNNNNNNNNNNNNNNNNNNNNNNNNNNNNNNNNNNNNNNNNNNNNNNNNNNNNNNNNNNNNNNNNNNNNNNNNNNNNNNNNNNNNNNNNNNNNNNNNNNNNNNNNNNNNNNNNNNNNNNNNNNNNNNNNNNNNNNNNNNNNNNNNNNNNNNNNNNNNNNNNNNNNNNNNNNNNNNNNNNNNNNNNNNNNNNNNNNNNNNNNNNNNNNNNNNNNNNNNNNNNNNNNNNNNNNNNNNNNNNNNNNNNNNNNNNNNNNNNNNNNNNNNNNNNNNNNNNNNNNNNNNNNNNNNNNNNNNNNNNNNNNNNNNNNNNNNNNNNNNNNNNNNNNNNNNNNNNNNNNNNNNNNNNNNNNNNNNNNNNNNNNNNNCCUCCUCUCCUCCUCUCUCUCUCUCUUCCUAUCCCCCUCUCUCACCAGUUUCUCGAACUGAGGGGCAGAAUUAUAUUAGUCCGCCUCCAAUGCGGCUCAGUGCGCCUUGAGCCAAGCAGUUCAGAAUGGUACUGCCUUCCAAGAUCAUAUAGUUGUGAUCAAGCCAAGACUACCAUUGGGAGCCUUAACCAUGAUCUUUAAGAAAUGUUUCUCCACCUUGCAGAAUUGGAAUUUUAAUCCUUUUUUUUGUAAAUAUUGCAAUUAGGGGCUAGCUUUGCUGGGACCUUCCUCACCAAUUCUUCCACAUUAUCUUAGGCCUUCUCUUCCUUUUUGGCCCUUCAACCCAACACACUCUCCUUACUAGGACCUCAAUAAUUCUAAGUUCUACACUUCUUUGAUGCCCUUAUAUUCCAUGUUAUUCUUUCUAAACUGAAGAUCAAUUUGACAAUCUUAGUAUACUCAUUUUCUCUGCUUGAACCCUUCCAAAUUGCAAUCUAUGACAUUUAGGAGUUCAUUAUUGUCCAAUAAUUUUUUCCUAGUCUCAAAGAUGUCGAGUGAUCACGAAACACUUCAAAAGUAUCACUCUAUGUCAAACAAGUUCUCUAAUUUGACUUCAUUAUCGGUAUAUCUCCACUCUUUCAUAUGCUAAAUCAAAUAUUACUACAAUGAUAAAGCAUCCUUUUCUUUCAGCAAAAUGAUUAAUGAUUAAAAUCAUCUAUUGAUCAAAUCUAGGCCACGGCCUAAACAUUAUUUACGUUUUCACUAAAAAUAGCAUUUGCAUAUAAUUUACAUCUAAUGACAUUAUAGACAACUAUUCUCCAAAUUUCACCCCAAAAAAUCACCUGUUCAACCUAAGUCUUCUUCUAUCAAUCAAUACUACAUAAUCUACAAAUAUAAUAAAUCAAGGAACUUUCUUUUGAAAAUUAGCAGCAAGUUCAUCAACAAUAGGUGCAAACAACAUAUAUGUCCUUAGGCCCAACCCUUAGGCCCAAUCUAGUUCCUAGAUAGCUAAUCAGAGGAUGGCUAAUAUUUUAAACAUUAGUACAUCGUUUAACUAGUUAAUCAUGAAGCUGAGAAAAACUAUUAUUUGGUUGUUGCUCAAUUAACCACACAUUUUUGCUGAGAUGGGAAAAAUGCUAUUGGGUAGGACAAAGCAUGAGUUAAGUGGUUGAGUAACAAUUUUGGAUUAGAGCUGAUCACGAGCCUCGGGCCUAAACUUUAUUCAUUUUUAAUCGAGCUUCGAGCCGGGCCUAUUUAAAAAUGGAGCUUUUCUGUGCCCAAGCCCAGCCCAUGAUCAGGUCUAUUUUGGAUUAUAUGGACAAAAAAAGGUAGUAAUCAAGAAAAGUAAAAGGUGAGGGGAAAAGGGUGAAAUGGGGAAAAAUAAUGAGGAGAGGGGAGCUUAAUCAGGUUAUUAAUGUUAUUUUUCCCUCCUCACUGAAACAUCUUUAACCAGGUUAGCCAGGUAAAUUGGCCCAAAAAGUGGUGGUGUUUAGUUGGUAGAUAGAUAACCACCCCCUAACCAGUAGUUACAGGCCUCAGUGUAGUUCCACCAAGAUUGAAUCACUGUUAUGGUGCAAUUUCUUCUAAUGACUUCCCUUUGCCCCUUCAUGCAUGUCAUUAACAUGAGGGCCAGAUUAAACAUUAUGUUUGAUUGCUUUAGGAAGGAAUUCAAAACAGCAUGGAAUUCAUGCAAAGACAGAAUACUUAAAGGCUCAGAAGCCCAUGCCUUGAUGAUUUUCAAAAUCAGGGAUGUCCAUAUUGUGCAAUGCAGCUAUAGGAAUGAGAACAACUGAGGGAAAAAAGAGACUAAGAUCACCCUUGAAAUAGUGGACUUGAAAAAUCCAACCACAAAAUAGUAUUAAAUAUUAUUUUUCCUCUUACUGUGAAUUGGUGCUUUAGCGGUUACAGUAAAAUUAAAGUAAUGUAGCAACAAACGUCACACUUUUCUCAUAUUACGUGUUAUCAGUAAAGAUCAAGAAACCACUUCUGGAAAAUGGGCCCUAUUUUAAAAUAAUAGAUAAAUGAGCAUAUAAAGCACGGGCGGUAAACAGAACGGUUCUUACCACAUAUACCAUCAUUCACUCGAGAAGAGAAGAUUGUCAGAGGAAUGUGACCCGCAUUCCGGCAAUAGAAUUUCCCUUGCGGACACGCUGAUGUCCCUGCAGGACAACACAACAUAACCCACCCGAUCAAAGAUCCAUUAGAGAGAAAAAAACCCUAAUCAAAAAUCAAGAAACACUAACAAUAGCCCCUACAAAUCCCAGUAAACAGACAUCUCAUGAAGCUCAAGAAAAUGACAAAAAAAAGGAAUAAAAUUAAAAAUCGCUGACCGGGUUCGUCGGUUCCAUCCGGGCAGUCGCAGAACUCGUCGUUUAGCUGUUCUUUCGGGAAUUUUUUCGAUCCAUCCUUGCAUUUGAUCACAUCCGAUUUAUAAUAACUCAAAUCUGACGCAUCGAAGCAUUAAAAUAAUCCGAAAACUCGAGGAAAAAUAAGUAAAUUCAAAAAGGAAAAAAAGGGAAGAGGCGAUCGAGAGGGUUACCUUGAGGAGCUAUCCCCAACGAUUCCCUCGACGGAAUCGAGGCCGACGCGGAGAUCCAAAUCAAUAGAAGACACGAGAUCGUCAGGGAAAUCCGGAGACGACCUCCCAUCGAUGGCUUUUAUGGAGAGCACUAGGGUCGUCCAAAGAGAGGAAGACGAGAGAGAGAGAGAGUAUGAGUUCUUUUGUUAUUAGACCGCCCGGCGACUGCAGCUUUCGUUGAGCUCCCGACUCCCGCGAGAGAGAGAAAGAGGAGGACCGGCGGGCCAAGCACCGACGGGAAAACUCGAGGUUUGCUGUUCUAUUUGGCCGAAUAGAUCCUGGCCAUCUGUUUUUGCUGAUUCCUGAGGGGGUGGGGAAGAUUUCUUUCCCUAUUAUGCAGUUGAACGUCCGUCUUUAGAUGGAGUUCUUGAUCUAGGGUGAAGAUUUCUUUCCCUUAUCACCCAGAUCUGGCCGUGCCUAGUGCGGUUAUUAAUUAAUCCUGAUUUUAGAACCUUAUAAAUUACCGGAACUUAGCCAUUCAUUUGACCAUUAUGGUUUGAUUUUUAGUCAUGCACAUAUUUAUACAGAAUUUAUACACACUUCUAUUUAUAUUAUAUACAUUUAUAUUUAUUUUUGUUGUUUAUAAUUAUAUAUGUAUUGGAGAUUAAGUAUGUGCAACCGUCGGAGGUCAAGAAUUAAAGAAACAGAUAAAUGUAGCCAGAUCAUUAGAGUGGCUAUCAAUUUCGGGUCAGUUUGAAUAUGAAAAUUUUAUAAAAUUCAUGGUUGGGCCGGUAAAGUAAUCUGUCGAGAUUUUUUUCUCAUUAACAAAAUUCACAGACUAAUCGGCUCCAAAGUUAUUUAUAAGUAUUUAUUAAACUUAGCCCAACCUAUAAUCCAAUAACUUGAUUUGUUAUACCGGCCAGUUUAUGAAUCUUAUAAAAUUUUUAGUCCAAUCAUUCAAAUUAGUUUUUACUAUAAAAUUUAUAUUUGAAUAUACUAAUUUAAUUUUGCCAAACAUGGCAUAAUUUAAUAUUAAUGAUCAUCACCACAUGUUCCAUCAUGAUCAUUAAUAUUAAGUUAGCAAGGCACUAUUUUAAUGUCAGAGUUCGCCAUGCGUGGUAGGUUGGCUAGCGGUAGGAACUCGCGGCAGAUCCAAUCCACGUAUUUUGUGGUUCAGUUUGGCACGAUAUGUCGACAUGCAAUGUGUACGGCGGCACCUGAUUGCAACCUGAACUGCUCCAGAAUCCAACACGAUUUGUGUCAAAAAAAAUCCAACACAGGAUGUUGGAUGGGAUACAUUCAAGUAAAAUUAAGGUGCGAUACAUGGUGCGUGCAAUAUUGCUUGGUGAAAUGAGUUCAUGUUGGAUAGGGACAAGGCGGCUUAAUCCAACAUAACGCUAUCUUGGUCCUACUUCCACGUCCCAGCAGCUGGUUUGGGUGAGACUCAUGGUUCUCAAACAACCCGCAAGCUGCAUAUCCAUAAAGCACCAUUUUAACCACGACCAACCCAUAUUACGUUUGCAUAGAACUCCUGAACCAUGCCUUGAUUGCCGUGGAAAAGGUAUGCGAAUGCCAUUAUAGCUAAGCUAAGAAGGCUGCAAAAUAAAUUCAGCUCAGCUAUGGAAUAGAAGACUAGUCUUUCAGCCUCCGCAGGCAUUACUAAUACUAGUAUUAUUACUACUAUUUUAAUAUUAUUAUUAUUUUAAUAAUAUUAUUAUUGUUAGAAAUAUUACUAUUAUUAGUACUAUUACUAUUAUUAGUAUUAUUACUAGUAUUAGUACCACUACUAUUAUUAGUAUUAUUGCUAUUUUUAGAAUUAUUAAUAUUAUUAGAAUUAUUAAUAUUAUUAGUAUGAUUACUAUUAUUGGUAUUGUUACUAUAAUUCAUAUUAUUGCUGUUACUAUUAUUAGUAUUAUUACUAUUAUUAAUAGUACAAUAUUACUACAAUGUAAUAUAAUAUUAUUAUAAUUAUAACAUAAUAUAUAAUUUAAUGUCAUAAUAAUCUAAUAUAAUACAACAAUAUAAUGAAAUAUAAUGGAUUAUAAUCUAAUCUAGUAAUAGAUUAUAUUAUAUUAUUAUUAAAUAUUAUAUAUAUAAUAAUGAUAUAAUAUUAUUAUAAUAUAAUCAUAUAAUAGAAUGUAAUAUAAUCUAAUAUAUUAUGUCUUAUAUUAUUAAUCGUAUAUUAUAAUAUUAUUAUAGAAGCAGAGAAAAGGUCAUGACUCAUGACCUCUUCACAGAGGGGAAGAGUUUCUUGUCUUGUGCAUGCUUAUCGUCGUAUAAAGCAAUGAACCGUAGUUACUGAGACAGUUGAAGCCUGAAAUUUUGGUUCAUACAUGUGACCUCUUUGAACUCGCAUAAAUAAUGUAAAAAUAAUGUAGUAUUUGGCAAGUCACAGCAGUAAGGACAAGGUGAAAAAGAAAGCAUGGAGUUCUGAAACAUAUGUGAAAUGUAUAAAGUUGUUCUCAGUAUGGGCAUUUAAACUAGUUCAGUGAAAUUGAAUUAUCAUUUAUCAACAACUUCCUACGGCAAAAAUCGACUGCCGAUGGGACACGAAACCGUAGAAAUGGAUGAGGAAUGCUUGUGCAGGUGGAAAGGUAAACUGCAUAGAACCAGCUGCUCAUCUUUAUUAGUCAUUUGGGAGCAUAGCAAGCAAAAAAAAAGAUGCAUAAGAAUGAAGAAAGCUAGAAGUUGAUAGGAGAACUUGGCAAUACCGGUGGCAACAAAAGAAGCAGGGAAUGAACCCAAACAAAUGGUGUUUGUCUUUCUGUAAUAGCAAGGUAUAAUGAACUAAAGGGCAAAAGAAAUCAAAAAAAGAGUUACAAGAUGAGGGAUCCAAGAAAGGUACUCCAUCACAGAUGAACAACAAACAGCAUUUGCACCAGGGAGAUCAACAAAAGGUACCAACAACAUAAAUUGGAGAAGCAGAGUAUUACUUUAAUGUCUGUGAUAAAGCUGAAGGUUUUUGCUAUUAAAGUUGAGUGGUGAAGUGUGAUAAAAAGAAUUAUGGACGAGCAGCAAUGCAAGUUGACAAAAACAGCACAAAUGAUCAUGAAACAUCAUUCUAACUAAUUAAGUCUNNNNNNNNNNNNNNNNNNNNNNNNNNNNNNNNNNNNNNNNNNNNNNNNNNNNNNNNNNNNNNAUUCUGCCAAUGCCUGAUAGGUUGACUAAAAUGAAUGUUUUUUUUUUUUUGUAAAGGGGAGGCAGAAAGGAGCCACCCCGCUUUUAUUGAAGAUUAAUCAUAUUUACAACAGAGAUGAGUUAUAUUGUCAAGAGAGGAGAGGAACAGAUACAAGAAAAAGAAGCUAAAUGGUUCCAAACUAAGUGUCUGAUUAUCAGUAGAAGAAAGAACCUCAUCCAGUCCAAUAAGCAGAAUCAUUUAUUGCCAGAAUGUUCCAUGCAAUUUCACAAAAAUUUUAACAAAAAAACAUCAGAAUCUAGAAUGGCCACAAGCUUCAAAUUUCAAAAAAACUUGAGAAUGUCUUUGACAUAAGAAACAACCGAUUUUCCACCACCAAUUUGCAUACCAUGUCGGUACCUCCUCUGUAGCAUAAUAUAAUACAAUCUGCUGGAAGGCAUAAGAUGACAAAUAGAAGCUGUAGCUGAAGGGGACAAAGUUGCAAUUCUUCACUCAUUGAAGAGGCUGAUUGCGUUUCAGAACUGCAUGAUAGUUGAAGAGUAAGCAUGACAUAAUAUGCUCCAAUCAUAUUUGAUGUCCAAGAGAAUAUCUUAUAGAAGAUAUAGCUGGCUGAAAUCUCCAUCAUAUGCAACCAAUGGCAGAACCAUACUGAAAAGGAAGAGCAGGAUCCUCUGCUCGAGCAGUCUGAAAUGAGAGCAUUCCCUGGCACAAAAAAAAAGAAAAAAUCCAGCUGAUAUAGUUCAAACUGUAUUAGUCAUCCACAAGCUUAGAGACAACAUUCUGCACUUUGGACCAAAUUCUUCCUAACUCCAUCUGCGUAAUAGGAUCGCAUAACACCGCCCAGUCAUUGAAAAUUCUAAGUCCCUCUGCAGUAAUCGAGGCAAUUGAAGAUCUUUUAUUUAGAAAAAAUCAAGAGUUCUACUCCUUCUAGCAAGUCCAACAUAUAGUAGCAAUCAACAUGAGAAUGACAGGCUGAACAUAUUUUGUAAAAUGGUUCAACCUCCAAUCAAUGCAUAGAUUUUCAAAGUUUAGUUGAGAAUGAAGUACCCCAAGAGACAAACAAAUGGUCUUCCAUAUAGUAGAAAAGAACUUACAGGUGCAAAAGAGAUGAUCAACAGUCUCAUUUGUAUCAUGGCACAAAACACAACCGUCAAGAUUCUUACCUAAUUUUUUUCCAAGGUUGUCUCUAGUAUUAAGCUUCUUUUUCCAACACAACCAUAUAAAACAAUUGAUUUUAAGUGGUAUUGAAAGCUUCCACAAUGAGUUAGCAAAUCUACAUUUGAUACCCUUGGUGUUCAAGAAGUGGUAAAGUGAUUUUGUGGAGAAGGAUCCAUUGCUACUCAAUUUCCAACAUAUUUGAUCUUCUACCUGAUAAAGAGUGACUGAAACCAAGAGAGACGAAAGAUUAACGAACUGGGUUUUGGCUUCCAAGAAGAUAGAGGAUGGUCUCCUAAGCUUCCAAGACAUAGAAUGUGGGUUAUAGUGAUCGGCAAUAGUGCCAUUUUUUCUCCUAUUAAGAUUAUAUAAAGCGGAAAAUAGGAAUUGGAGGGGUGCAUCACAAACCCAAGGAUCUUUCCAAAAUAGUGUAUUAUGUCCAUUGCCAAUUUUGAACUGAAUUCUAUUCCAAAAGGCAGAAAAGAGCAUUAAUAACGUCACGCCAUAGAUUAGAACAUCUUCUAAUAGGUUUCCUAACUCAUAGAUAAUUUGACUUUUCUAGGGUAUGCAAAUUGUACUUACUUUUUCCUGAUUCCUGGGUCAUUUGAAAAAUACCUCCAUCCCCAUUUUGAUAAUAGGGACAUAUUAAAUUCAGCCAGAUCCUUGACUCCCAAACCUCCAUCCUUCUUUUGAAGACAAACUGUACUCCAAUUAACCUUACAUGAUACUCCAUGACACCUUGAAGAGCUUGACCAUAAAAAGAUCUUCGAUAUUGAUCAAUCCUCUUGAUCACCCAUGCCGGAAGCUUAUAAAUUGACAUAUAAUAGAUAGGGAGAGAGGAAGAGUACAGAGUUGAUUAAUGUUAACCUUCCAUCAAAAGAUAAGAAUUUGUUUUUCCAUGUUACUGAUCUAGCUUCAACUCUUCGAAUCAAGACCAUCCAAUUAGCUUUAAUAGGUUUACCCCCACAUAGAGGAAACCCAAGGUACUUGAUUGGAAGAGAUGUGCAACUACAAUUUAGCCAACCUGCGCGUAUUGUUACAUCGAUGUUAUCCUAUCCAAUAGCUGUGAUGGAGCUUUUAUGAUAGUUAAUAGCAAGCCCAGAUACCAUUUCAAAAUACUAGGUAAUGAUCUUCAAAACAGCCAUAUACUCCUUUCUAGCACGAGUGAACACCAGAGUGUCGCCUGCAUAAAUGUGAAUGAGAAGCCAAAUCCAUCUCUUCCCUAUGUGCCCUCACUAAAGAAAUGGUCCUUCUAGAUCCUUGUGUCUCGAUCUCUUUCCUCUAAACUGUGUAUAAUAGAGAAAGAAAGCAAACUCAAAAUUGACUGAUCCUUUAGCUGUCCAUCUCAAUAAUCAAUGAGACCACAACAUCAAAUCAAUUAUGCGCGCAUCAUGAAUUAAAUGAAAGUAAUGCUAAUUUUAGACCGUUUGAAUAAAGAGACUUCAGCAUAUCCUUCCAACUUGGUUUGUUAUGGAAAUUAUAUUAUAAAAGAACAAUGCUACAAGAUCCCUCAUUAUGCGCGCAUGAAUAAUUCUCAUACCAUGCGGCAAGAAUAAUUGGAACAACUUACAAAAACGAUUACCAACACAAAAUUUGGUUGAUUGUAAAGCUGCCAAAUCAGCAAUUAUGGACUUAUCGAACAUUUCAUGUAUGCAUAAUAGGCAUCCAUAGACACUUUGCAUACGAUCGAAGAACAAUGCCCACCUUAAAAGUUACCACUGGUUAGAUGGUGCAAUUCAUUCUUUAAUAAGUUGUAAAUUACAUUAGAUCUUCAUCACAACAUCUAACUUCCAUGGCUGAGAGCUUCUUGCUCAUUAAAAAUUCGUUCAAAAUGAUAAAUAAGUAGCACUUGACCAAGAUAAGAUAGUUUUUUAAACUACCAACCUAUCAAGUUGGAGGCUGAGCUAUGAUAGCUCAUUCCUUGUGUUUGAGGGGCGAGAAGAGUAAGCCAGAACUUUUGAAUCAGAUGCUAGAGGGAAUAAUCAAUCUAUCACGCAGAAAAAAAUCAAUGUCUUGAAAUCCACGGAUGCUGCUUCCUAUCUUUAGCGAGAGGGUCGACCUCGAUUCCAAUAUCCCAAAUUCCAUCGCGCGUGGGCUGUGGACUCCACACCCCUUCCAACCUCUCUUUAGCCCUCACGAUGGAAUGGAAUCGGACCCUGUUCUCCACCUCACUUUUCCUUCCUUUUUUUUUCCAAUGGACGCAUACCUCACUUUCUUUUUUCCAAUGGAUUGGAUCUUCUUUUAAUUCUAUAUCUGAAACACCAGACCACCUUCUCCAAAAAGAAGCUAGGCUACGGCUACCAACUAAAAUACACACAUUCCACUGAACUAGAUUUUUGCUGCAACCAAAAUAAAAGCUGUAAUUUAACAUCUAAAAUUACAGGUAAGAGGUUACCACCAAUUAAAAUAAAGCCAACUAGUCUUCCAAGUUUCAUAUUUGUCCCCUCUAUGAUCCAAUUAUUCAGGUAAGACGUUACCACCAAUUCAACCAAGUUCAUAAAUACUGAUAGGUCAUGUCAUAAAUCUUUAAGACUCACAGUUGAUUGUGUCUUUACCAUGAGGGAAUGGUAUAUAUUGUGCUUUCAAGAAACCUUUCAAUGGUAUUCUGUGAUAGUCUGUUUUAAAUUUAACAUCUAUCUUUGGGUUUCUGAAAUAGCCUAUAAAAUAUUGCCAAGUGUUUCAGGAUAUGGUCAUAUCUUUAGAAAUCUUGUAUUGGAUAUGGAAAAUUGAUACAGAACUGCUUUAAGUAAUGACAGAUCUCUAAUUCCGAAGCAAAGGCAUAUAUUCCAGUCAAGAUCAAUGGAUAUAAUCCUGCUAAUUCUUUUCACGGAUGAGAAGGAUUCUUUCAACUUUGUCAAUUUCUAUUUUAAUAUUUUAUUCUUUUGGAUGACGAUGGGGUGACAUCAUAUGCCAUAACGAGCACAGUUUAAAGAAAUGCAAUGAUAAGAACUCGGAUGUAGCCUUAUUAAUAUAUAAACCUGUUGCAAGCAAGAUAUUCUCCAUCGGCCCCAAAUGUAGUAAUCUUGAGAUGAGGGGCAGGUUUUGUGCAGAAUCUUAUACUCAUGCCAAGAGAAUCAUAUCAAUUCAAGAAAUAAAAAAAUUCUUGAUAUCCAUGAUGACUAGUUGGUCUUAUUACUGGUGGAGCAGAGUAUUGGUCUCUUGUACUUUUCUAUCCUAUUAUUUGUUAAUGAUGUCUCAAUCUAUAAAAGCAUUGUCCAUGUCUUCACCAGGAAAUACUUACAGAUGAAAAACAAGAGUAAUCAAGGACCACCUUCUCUAAUCCAUUGUAGACAAAGAGGUUGCUGAAGUAUGUGGGGGCAUUCUAAUCCUAUCUAGUGAUUUGAGGGAAUUUAUGCAUUGAACGAUCUGGGAAAUCAAGUAUCUUCCCAUCCGAGAUAUACAAAAUGAGUAAGUUUCAAGCAAGAAAUCUGAAACAAACAAAAAUAGCAAAGCAUAAGACUUCCUCACCUUAACAUUGUGUGGAGCAAAAGAUUUCAUUGCUUGUGUGAUAAAACGAACUAAUCACCUGCAGAUUGUAAUAACCUAUCUAUAAAAGAAGAAGACAGCUACUAAUGCAACCACAUUGAUGAAUGAAACAUAUAAGGAGGACUAGGUCCCCAGCAUGACAAAAUUGAAAAUCAUUCGACGCUACCACGGUAGUAAUCAAUAAUCAUAUGAUAGAUACUGGCAAAUUGAUAGUCUAGCAAGGAGUUAGAGGUUGUGAAAGAUUAGUCACUGCCAUACACCUUUGUGUAGGCCCCAACUUUACUCCUCAUUCCUGCUUGAGCCAUGGCAAGGAACUUGUGCGCAUAAACCAUAGCAGUACACAUGCAUUUCCAACCUUUUUAUUCAUGUAAUUAUGCUGAUAUCGACAAGCCAACCGGUCUUUAGACCAACAGCUCUGAAGUAUGAAAGUACACGUAAUAUCUUUUUUAUUUCAUUUUGCCCUNUUUGCUUAAACCCAGUACAAAUUUUGGCAUCAGAGUGUCUGCGGCNNNNNNNNNNNNNNNNNNNNUUCUUGAAUUUGAAUAAGUACCAAACUUGACAGAGGAGCAAAAGAGAAUUGGAUGCUCAUUCCAUAUUCCAUUCCUUGCUUUCAAGCAAUCUCAAGGAAGCAUCAUUAACAGCAUAGUGUUUUUUUUUAAAAAAAGAUGGAUCCAAUUCUGCUUCUGGAUGCACCCAGUCAAACAGAAUUUUCAAACUUCUAUCAUCGACUAAUACCUAUAUUCCUCCAUCGACUCUAUCUGCUGAACUCCGAGUCUGUACCGACUGCAAUUACUUGAAUCCAAAAGCAUCACAAACCAACAACCAAACGUGUCCCAUCAAGUCGCAAAGCAAACAAGGUUUCCACGUGAGAUGUACCCUAGAGCUUAGUUUAACAUGAAGUUCAGGAAUCUGGGAGCUUUGCAAGGUGUGAAGACAUUACAUGACAGACCUCUAUGUCAGAAAAUUCUCCUCAGGAGCAUAAGGUUCCUUCUUUUCCUUACAGGGACCAACGUAAUGGAAAGAAUUGAUUUUUAUCGAUUUAUUCCUUUACACACAUUACAAGUGAAAGCUGUUCUGCAAAGAGUUGCUAGUGCAGAAUAAAAGUGGAAGUGUUGGCCUGAGAAUUGACAACCAAGUUGAAGAACAGGGUCCACAGAUAGUAAAAGCCAGAAGGACAAGAUCCCUUUUCGAGUUGCUGUGAAGAUUGGACGGGGCUGUGUUUUGUUCAAAUGAUUCCAGAUUUUUCCAGAUUCUCCCCAAAACUUCCUUAUAAGGAGAGCCUUGGAGGCAGAUCUCACCAUCAUGAGGAGAUAUAGAAGUUGAAGUUCCUUUUCUGAACAACAGAAGCAUUAAGGAUGUAAGGUAUGCAUGCAUCAGCUUUCCAGAAAUAGUCAGCUGACAAACUCCAAGCAAAUCAGGUUGUCAGAGAUAUGCAGGUCCAAAUGGAUAAUAGAACCUGAAAGGCAAAAGGAAAGAGAGGUAAGAAGCCAAAACUAAAGCAAGUUUGUUGUUAUUUGAGCAGAGAUGGUCUGCCUUCUUUCUUGAUGAUCUCAACCUGAUGUCAUUUUAUAAGCAGAAGAUGUAUCAUCAUCAUCUUGAAGGUCACAGCAACCUCCUUGCUUCUAGAACAACCUUUCCUCCAAAGAAGCAUUUGUUUUUGCAAGGCGGAAGUGUUCCUGGAGAGUCAGGACUGGUUCUCUCAACUGAUGCCAAACCUAGAUUGAAAUGGACACCCGAGCUCCAUGAACGUUUCGUAGAGGCAGUCCAUCAACUUGGUGGAGCAGAUAGUGAGUAUAUGUAGAAAGAGAAUUUCAGAAGAAAUAAUGCAAACAUAGUCUACUGUAAACACAAACAGACCCUGUCCUGCCAGCUAAUUUAUUAUCAUUGUCUCCUGCAGAGGCUACCCCUAAAACAAUCAUGAGGCUGAUGGGCAUUCCAGGACUAACUUUAUAUCACCUAAAAAGCCAUCUGCAGGUGCUAAUAGACUUUUUGAUUCUUGUUAGUUGUUUGCACUGGACUUAUUAUUUUUUGAUUGACAUUUGCCUUGGAUUUGUUGAUUCUUGUUUGAUGUUCAUAUUACGAGGACUAAGUUUAUUUUUUGGAGUUACAGAAAUACAGGCUUAGUAAAAACCUCCAAUCUCAAGCUAAUACUGGAACCACCAAAAAUGGUAGGUCAGCAUCCUAGAGCUUUCCUUGGAUUUUCCAAAGUAGAAGAAACAAUUUGACAAGAGAUUUCUUGUAUGGUAGUCGUAGGUUGUACGCUUGCAGCAAAUAGGACAGGUGAAGGUAAUGGAUCACUCAUGAGCAAUACUACUGCAGCAUCCCAGACAAACAAGUAAGAGACAGAAAAUACUCUAGAAUGUUGUUAAUCAAUGAAAACCUUCAACUAAUAGUUUGUCAAUUUCAGAACCAUGCUGAUAAGUGAAGCACUUCAGAUGCAAAUUGAAGUGCAGAGGCGGCUGCACGAACAACUUGAGGUAAGAGCAAGAUAUCAUAGUUCCAUUACUAAUUAAUAACAAAAUAAGAAAGUCUGUAAUGUCUCCUUUGGAAUAACAUAUUCUAGAUUUUUUUUCAAAAAAAAAAUCAACAUAAAAUCUCCUAAGACAUCAAACUAAAAUUAAAAGACGAGCUUCAUUGUUGACAGGCACCCAAGAUUCUCUUCUGGAAACAGACUCAAACUGGAUCUUCAUUUUCAUUAGAAAAGGCAUGCUUGUUUUUGAAAAAUCAAUCGAAGGAUUUGAAGUUUUCUGUGAACUGCUUGUCCUGAUGUAACAGAUAGUACAAUGUCUGGCCUUGUCAUGGAGAAGUAUAUAUGUAAGAGAAAUGUUAGAGAGAGAAAGGGCUAGAGAUAAGAGAGAGAUACAGAGAUAAUUUGCAAUUGGCUUCACUUUCCUAUCACCAUAUUCCAUGUAAACUAUUUUGUGCUUUUUUUUUGAGAGGAAACUAUUUUUUGCUCUUUAAAAUGCACUUGCCAAAUCAUUAAACACCUGUUAUAAUGAAACUAUUUUUGGGUUAUCAAUUCAAAAACCAUGUUGGGUUCAGGAACAAUAGUGGAAGACUGCCAUACACCACUAUUAGAACUUUUUUGCCAUCCAAAUAGAGAGAUAUGAUAAUUGGUGUUUAGCUGUUGCUUUAUUCCUGACUCCAUAUCUUGACUGAAACUUAUUUUGGAUUUAUAUAGGUGCAAAGACACUUGCAGCUCCGGAUAGAGGCACAGGGACAGUAUUUACAGUCAGUGCUAGAAAAGGCCCAAGAGACUCUUGGAAAGCAAAAUUUGGGUUCUACAGGGCUGGAAGCAGCCAAAGUGCAAUUAUCAGAAUUGGUCUCUAAAGUCUCACAUGAAUGUCUUAAUACUGCAUUUCCGGGUUUGGAAGAAAUUUCCGGCCUGCAUCCCCUGCAAGCUCAUGCUGCUCAAUUUACUGAUUGUUCGGUAGAUAGUUGCUUGACCUCAUGUGAAGGAUCACAAAAGGAACAAGAAACAAAUUAUGUUGGUGUGGGAUUGAGUACCUAUCCUGGCAAUUCACCCCUAUGCCUGCAACAAUUCAGAGCAGAUACUGAGCUUGAACGGGCUCAACCUGCAUGGCAUGCAGAUUUUAAUGCGCAGAAGACAUUUUCUCCAUUCAUUGUACGAGAUUCAGAAGGGACUGUUUUCCCUGCCCAGAGGGACUCUAGAACCCUAUCAAUUAACAUGAAGGCUCAAAGAGAGAAAGUAGACAGCAGCACUGAUUCUGAGGCACGACGAAAAGAAAGAGACAGCAAAGAUACUUUUCUUGAAGCAAGCAGAAAGAGACCUGCAGUCCUACAAGAGAGGGGAAAGGAGCCAAAUGAGUUUGGCCUGUCAAGUAUGACACCCAACUGGAUCUAAAUGCCCAUGAAGAGAAUGAUGGUCUUCCAAAUUCCAAACAGUUUGAUUUAAAUGGCUUCAGUUGGAGCUGAAAUAUGGCAUGAAAGCAACUCAUGGCAGAGAGAGAUGAACCGAAGGGAUAAUGCGAAGUUCAUUUUUACAGACUCUUACAUAUACCAUACGUAUUGCAGCUGCAAGUUCUAUCUUAUCAUCCAUCACAGUUAGCCAAAAAUAAGUGAUGGAUAUGGGGAUGAAAGUUGAUUCACAAAACGUAUUUCCCAGGCAGUAGCCUGAGGGUGCAUUACGAAUGAGUAUGAGAGAGAUUGUCCGAGAUAACAUUAUGUUCUCUGAGGUUUGUCAAUGGUAUCAUUGGAAUGUCUUACUAAGCACCAUGGCUAAAUGUUUUACCUCUUGUAGGUUAUUAAAAAAUAAACAGUGAAUUCAUAUUUACAGCACUACUCUAAAAUUACUGCAAUAAUAAAAAAUAAAGAUCUUCUCACUAUAUAGCAUACAAGAAACUCGGUUUCUGUAAUGCAGUCAUCAAAGUGUCAUUGACUAGGCUAGUAGAACCACUGAAAAUUUUCAAUAUUUGUAGUUGGUCUAAUAAAAAAUUAUAUACAGAUGCAUCUCAAAAAGUGCCCUAACACUAAUCUUAGAAUUCAUAUUCACAUCAUCAAUUUCAGAACGGUUGCUACACCAAAGACAAGGUACCUACUGAUUAAAUAGCAGAGAAAAAUAUUGAAUCUGAAGAUAGCAUACAGCUUUAAUAGUACCAGUAAAAAUCAGAUAAGCAUGGCAGAGUUGGCAGUUAGGAGGUAGACUAUACAUGCCCAUACUGCAUUUUCACUAGAUUUUGUCAGCAAUAAGGGGUUAAAUGCUCUCAAAGGGUACACACGAGUUUCUUUCUUUAAAGGAUGAAGCAUGGCAUCUCUAGAAAUAUUCUUACAGCCUUGCUUUUAGAAUUAUACUCAUUACAAACUAAAGCAAUAAUCACAGGGUACGAUAUAUAUUAAGACCGUUAAAGUACAGGCAAUUGAAACAAAUGUUCCUGUUCCUAUCCUAGCACAACUUCCUAAAACAUUUAAACCAACGCUAGACAUAAUUCUAGACCUAAUGACACCAACACAAAUACAAAAUAACACAAGCAAGUUAAAGUAACCAUAAUGCUUACUGCUGGAUGAUACCUUAUACAACACUGGUCAGCUGUAAUCCAGAUGCCACUAUCUUCCAUGAAAUGGAUCCAACACAGUUAAAAUAAUCCCAUUUGAGUUUUCAACCUGUAGGUUUGGUUGCGCCAGGUCAAUCUUUUCUACUGCAUUAUGUAUCUCUGAUGUUGUUAUAAUUAUUUUCAUUUUUUAUCCAUCAUAAUCUUUCACCAUAACAACAAAAUAGCACUAACAGUAUUCACAUCUGAACAAAGAAAUACAGCAUACAAGAAUGCGACACCAUCAAACAAAAAUUCCCAAAAUCAUGAAGAAGAUUAUUGAGCAAUUCAGUGUGCGCAGAUUAACAAAAUAACUCAAGAAAUUGGCCAAAAUUAUUUCCCUUUCUAAAAAUAACAAAAUCUUACAAUAGAUUAGAAACUUUGAGAUUGAAGAUUGAUCAUCACUAUUUGGCAUCUAUUUGUCAUGAAUUUCAUGCUAUUGAAUGUAAAAUGGAAAGUCCAACCUACAUUUGAACCAAAAUGGCAUGCAUAUAGAUGUUGUCUUGAUGAAAAUGAAAAAAAAUAAAGACAUUUUUGAUGCAAUCAUGAUAUUUUGUAACUCUUCAAUGGAGUUACAAACAUAGUUGUACAUCAAUAUCCCACCUAAAUUUAUUAUUCUUUUUCUAUAUGCAGUUUAUUUAAAUUAAACAGGUAUCACUCAAUUCCCUUGAAUCAUUCAGACUUAGAUGUCAUACAGAGCUGAUUUAUGUCCUGUAUCUUCCUAUCUGAGUGCUACUGUUUCUUCAUUUUAAAAAAUUCAUUUAAAAAUAAUCAACAAACUCUUAAUUUUAAUAAAAAUUACAUAAAACAUAAUUACAGGGUACAAGCACAAUCUAAUUAAUGGAAAAAAGAAAAUUAUAGAAAAGUUUGACUGAAAACAAAAAGAUUAAGAAAAGAACUUAUCUAACCUAUAAGGUAACAUAUCCAUUUCCCUUGGCACCUUUCACAUAUCACUGCAUGGUAACCAUGGGCAAACACAUUUUCGACUAUCAGCCUUCAAAACCACGCUCUUUUAGUUGUAUUGUUGGAUAUGAGGGACUGUACAAUGAAUCAUGUAUAGUUCUAGUGUGCAUGCACAUAAACUGAAUAUACAACGAUUCCCUCUCAUAUUACAUGGGAGAGGAAAGACCAGUAGCAACUGAAAGAAAAGCGGCAAUAUAGUUUCACUGCAUUAUUGCAAUACUCCAAAUCUUGCUCUUUAAUUACAUUAUCAAAAUUGAGAUUCAUCUCCCUAGCUUUUAGUAAUACAUUCAAGCUUUCUUACCGAGGGAUUGCACAUCCAUCAUUGGAAUGCCAUCACCUUAUUGCCUCCUACAUGGUAAUGCCAUAUACUGUCAAGUGUCAAUCAAUUGCUGAAGUCUGCAGAACUUGUCAUGAACAAUUGCUUGAACACUUCCUAGAUUGUGGUCUUGCUCGGACAAACCCCAGCAGACUCCUUGAGAGAAAGAGUUGCAGCUAAAUCAGGACUUAUUGGUGACAUGACUGUAACAGCAAUAUAUGCUGGAAAUUUUGAAGGUUUUAUAAUGGCAGAAUCUGCCUCACAUGAUAUAUGUAUGUAUACACACACACACACACACACACAUAAUAUUCAGAAAAUGAGCAAGAAAAAGAAUAAAAGGGAAAUUGAGCAGUGAGUUCAUGCAAAAGGAAUAAACACAAAUUUAUUCCUCAUGUUUAAAAACAUUUAAAAGGUCUUGCCAUACCACUCAAAUGAAAAUGGAACUCAGCAGAAUGCUAAUGUCCAAUCCACAAAAGAGCACAAGCCGAAACUCUUUCAGUGCCCCCAAAAUUGAGAAUUAUCAAUAUCCACCAGAAAGACGAGCUAAUCUACUUCAGCAAGAUGCCACUUUUAUCCUAGAUGAUGAUCAAUUACAAAAACUGAAAAGUUAAAAGAAAGAUCAUAACCAAAGAUGAGGUCAGCUUGAUUCUUCAGCAAUAGACAGCAAUAGCUAGUAUCUGCGAUAUCAAGUCAGAAAUAUGCUAGCUUGUGAACUAAUAUUAAGAUCAAAUUAAUCCAAAGGGAAGUGCAAGAAGGAUCCAAGACUACCAGCAUGUAACAAUUCUCAGGACAUAUUGAAGCCACUAAUUCAAAUUCAACAUGAAGGAAAUCAGGAAUAUGGGUGAUAAACGACUGGCAUAUUGUUAUUAUAAUCCAAUGUUUACAGCUUAUUACUAUGAAAGAACCAAAUAUCGGUAAGCAAGAAAUAUAAGCUGGCUACUUCUUAAUUCUACGAACUUUCUUAGGCCCCCAAACCUCCAUUCUGCCCUCCGGGCAUCCACAAGGUGCGCGAAGGAUAAGAACAGUACGGCCAUUUGUCGGGGCCAUCUUCUUGAGCGCAGCUUCCAAUUCCUUGCGAUCCUCUCCUAGAUCCAGCGGGCGAGCCCCCAACACCUCCUCCAGCACAGGCGGCAAGCACUUCACACACUUCUCUGACUCGAGCUGGAUGUCGAAUUCAGCUGCCUUGCGGAGACCUUUGCAGUAAGGAUUCCCGCAUUUCCUCGGCCUGACGAAAAUCUCCCACACGGCGAGCGCAGUGACGGACAUCAGAACGAAUGCGGCAACGGCAGCGGCAGCAUACCCGACCGGGGCAUCGUAAAUGGCAUCGCCGAUGAGGUCAUAGGUUGCAGGGAGAAGCUCGGAGGCUUCAUGGAAGAUGAACUUGAAGCACGGGAGGGUGAGAACACCGAGGGCGCCGAGAACCAGGAGCAGCAUCACGACGUCGAUGACAGCGAAAAGCGAGUGCUCGCAGAACGGAUGGGACAGUGGGCUCAAGGACUUGCUCCCCUUCGUGAGAGAGUGGUUUUGGUUGCUGGAGUUCGCCGCCGCCAUGAUCCGGUGCUGCUGGUAAGCUCUGCAGAACUCGAUCAGGCUCCGACAAUCAACCAUUGCUGGCGAAUCAAUCGAUCAAAAUACGGCUGCGUUGCGGUGUCAUGCACAAAGACUGAUUCGUCACAAAGAAAAACCCUAAAAUUUAUAACUUUUUUGAGCUCUUUGCGGCAACUAGAUAGCAGAAGAAGUCGAAUGAAACAGUUCUGAUUUCCCCAAAUCAAAACAAACCGCUGUUCCGAUAAUUCCAAGAACAGACUAGGAAUUCGAAAUCACUCUCAUACAUUAAUCUCACGUACCGAUUGCCGCGAUCCGACCGACAUCCACCGGGAAGCUCGUUAAGAAAAGGGAGACUUUCUAGAAACGAUAGCGGGACCGAACCUGAUGGGAUGGGAUUCUCUAAUGCGAGAUUUCCUCCAUUCGACCUUCUUCCUCCUAUCUCGGCUUACUUAGAGGCUGCGACCGGGGGAAUACGUCCUAAGUCUCGACGCAAUUCGAUUUGACGUCUGCGGAAAAAGAAGCAGGUCGUGGAUUCUCCAGGCAGAGAAAGAUAUAGAGAAAGAGAUUGAUACGGUAGCGUAAUAAAAAAAAAGAUUGCGGCAUAUACCGCGGGAUGCGAAGGGAAGAUGGUGAAUCUUUCAAUUCCACAUUUCCACGUCAUCUGGUGCUGUAGUUGGAAAUGGCCGAAUAUGGUCAAAAAAACGUCGUCUCCAAGAGAACUAAGUUUUUGUUUUUUUUUUUACUUCUUGUUAACGGAACCUUAGGAUUGCCUGACUUUGUAUGGUUGACGGUGGGAAUCUAUCACCGUAGAUUUUUGAAAUCGACCAGUUAGAUACGGAAGCAAGAGAAUUGACAAAUGCGUCUCUAUUAGAUUGUCAUUUUAUGAUCUAGUGUGUUAGCUAGAAAUUUUAUAUUAUAUCUUGUGUUACUGGUUUUGGUGGUUCUACGAUUCUUACUCCAUGGCUUGGAUAUGAAGCAAGUUGCAGUAAUGUAAGGCGGUGAUACAAUGGUCAAAAUGAAGAUUGGGAAGUGAUUGAUCAUGGAGUGACAUCAAAUUGUGGACUGAGAAUUGAUUUGCACCUAAAUUCUAUCGUUUCGUAUUAAAAUUGUCAUGCAUAACUUUAUAAAGUCUAAGGAAGGAUAUUUGUGUCAACCUUUUCGAUGAAUUGCAAAUCACAAAAUUGACAUUUAGGGCCUCACAGUCAAUUGAAUCCUUGCUUUUUUGUUACAAAAAAAACAAAAAAAGGUGGUUUAGAGUCAGGAACUCAAAAGAGUAUGUUUGAAAAAUUACUUAAAAGGAGGAAUUAGAGGAAUUUCAUACUUUCUUAUGAAAAUUUUGAAUCUAGCAUUAACAGAAUCUUCUAGACACCAUCCAACAUCCUCUUGCAUCGCAAUUUGAAGCUCUAGACCUUUAGGACACUAAACUCUCUGGUUAGGCGCCAACCGUUAAAUGGAAGGUUCGUUUUAUAUGAAUGGUAUAAUGGCAGCUCUAUUAAGGUGUUGAGAAUUUCUUUUUUCUUUAUAAUAAAUAUGUUGUCCGGUUUCUAACCUACCGUAGGCCUCUAGAUUAUGCAAUCUAUAACAACACUAUUAGUUGGUGGGUGAAAAUAGUUUAGAAAAGGCAUAAGAUUGAUCUCUCCAAACUUUAGUUCAUGACCGAAAUCAAAAUUAAAAUAAAUUAGAAUGAAAAUUGAAACCAUAUUUUUUAAUAUAUUUGAUUCUUGAUCGAAAUUAAAAUGACAAUAAAAUUUGACUACUAGAAAAGAGCCAAAAAUAAAUUUCAAAAAAUUAAGACAUUUUUCCAUUCUCCUCCAAAAUUGAAAUCAGACUUCCUAUUCCAAACCCUAACUCUCUAGAACGUAGCAUGCCCUGAGAUUUUUAUUGAUACACAUAAUAGAGGAGCAUCAUAUGAGAGGCCUCUCCUUCACUAAAAUCACACACACGAAGAACUCAAAGAAGAAAAGAUGGAGACAUUUGUGGCAUUGCUGCUAAUUAAUCUAACCCAAAGGGAGGUCAUAGAUCAACCACGUCAAAGGGGGGAGAGAGAGAGAGAAGACAACUUCCAAAGUCCAAACCUCCGUCUGUGUCCGCACACCAGAAACCAGAAAGGACCAUGCGUAGGUCACGAACCUAAAUAUUAAACCCUCUCCACACAAACCAAGCCAUCACCUACUCAGUACUUUCUACCAGAUUUCAGCUCAUUCUCAUAACUUCGAAUGGAAUGACGUGUUAAAUUCAUUUGACCAGCCGAGAAGAUGUCGCUAAUACGGGUUGGAGUCCCCUACUGAAGAUAUUAGCUCAACAAAUGAAGGGGUCAAUCCAACAAAAUCUUCACGAGCAAGAUAAUUGCCUUGACCUUUUUGAGCAAAAUAAAAUAUAGAAAAACAGGGGUUGGGGUAAUGAAACAACAAUAUCACUCUCGUCCUCGAGAUUAGAACAGAUGCUUGUAAUAGGUGUAAUAAACUAGUACGGAUCAACCAUCAUGCUCCAAUCAAAUGAGGCAGGUGUUUGGAGGAACAAUGCAACCACGAAUGUGUUAUAAAUUUUCAAAAACUCUAACUUGAUACUUAGGUAGAAUAUCCUAAUCAUCAGUCACCAGGAACAGCUCUCACCCAUUUAAAAUGAUUAGGAAAAAGGGGCAGACUCGGGCUCAUAUCUUUGAGACACUUCCAUCUUCCGGGCGGGAGAAACCAACAGUAAGAGAGCAAGACCACAUCCCCCUAGAUAAGAUGAUGCAGGCAAGCCUUUUCUAGUUCUCUUCUUCAUCAAACUUGAUCCUCUUCGGUGCUGGUUGAACGACACCAACCUGUGAUACACAAAAAUAAAAAGGAAAAGCAAAUCGUAAGAGUGUACCUCUACCUCGUAGGGCAAAGAAAUAGCAUCCAACAUUGAAAACAUCAUAUCGGGCAAACAUGUAGUCUGGCCUCCAUAAAAUGCUACCUUUCAGCUAUAUCAUAAUAGUCUUACUUGACUCAAGUUUUAUUACAGUCACUGUCCAAACCGGUAAGCUGGAAUGCAUUUAAACAGGAAACAAAAUGCUAGUGUUAAAUUAAACUCGGUCCAUUUGGAAAACCAGGCUUCUUGUCUGCCAAUCAUGUAUAAGCUUAACUUUUAAGGGGACACAGGCAGGCACUGUGUGCGCUCCAAGCUUCAGCUUGUGAAAUCCACAGUAAGAAGUCGGGAAUGAACUCAUUGUGACUAGAGUCACUUGCCCAUUUACAUUUGCUGAUUCAAAUGUUGAUAGCAGGUUUCCAGUUAAGAUGACUGGUAAUGGUAUGCUAUUUAUGCCAAAACUCUCAUUAAACUUUCCAUGAUUAAGACUAACGACAACCAAUCUGGCAUAGAAACAGCAUUUACCUGCUGGUUGCCUAAUGUCUCAUGAUGUUUAACUUUGUUCGAAAAUGAAUAAAAUUUUUCAACUUAUUCAGAACUCAAAAAGAAAUAGCAAAAAAUAUGGAAUAUUUUACUUACAAAAUCUGGGCAUUCAUAAUCAAUACCAGCAGCCUUUAUCCGCUUACGCCGCUUCUCAUCUCGUUUUAAAAUUCCAUGCACCAUCCGCUGGUGUUCUUCCAUGGUUCUUUCCUGAACAUCAGUCAUGAAUGAUAAUACAAUCACAACACAACUGAGCAGUUAGUCCCAUAGUCUAAAAGAUUUAAUAUUACCUUGUUAUGCCGUUUCCGUGCAAUUGCUUUCCAAUCCAAUGGUUUGAAUAUUCGGUUUACUCCUUUCCACCUAUAAUGAAAAUUUGGAAGAAAAAGAAAACUAUAACUAACAUAGAAACCACAAACAAAAGGUUGUGAGAAUGUACAAAAGGCAGUGAUAUGACCGAAGUAUUUAUUUUCAGAUGAUUAAGGCAUGUCUUAUUUCAUUUUUACCACCAUCAACUAAACAAGACAAUUGUAUGUGCCAUCAGUUCAUACGAUACAUAAAAUAUCAUAUGCAUCAAAUUUAUUAUCACUCGUACCAUAAGUAGAGUCUUAUAUGGGCGCUAUCACAAGUACAGUCUUAUAUGGUGCCCAUAGAAGCAUAGAGGUUAUACAAGCACAUUUUCCAAGGAUCUUCAAGUUUUUUGAAAGUAUAAAAAAAAAACAAGUUAACUAUGAACAGAAAAUCUUUUAACAAGUACUAAUUUCAAAAUGAGUGAGGGAGACAAGAUUUAAACUUGGGAAGAAAACUGAUUCUUUUAGGCACACUGCAUGGUAAGUUCCACUCAGAAAAUCCUUGCAACAAUAUAAAUUCCAGGCAUCAUGAGGUAGAACUCAAGAGUGCAUAUCAGUAUUCCUCAUGUUACCAGAAACAAUUCUAAGCAUCAGUCUCUCUGACAAGUUUAUAAUUACUACAUAAAAAGUGUUUCAGCACUUAUAAAUCUCACAGAUUUUCUUUUCUUAUUCCUAUCAACUGCAAAUCUGUUGGCAUCAAUUAAUAAUAAGAUUGCAUUAAUAUUACUACAAAGUUCCACAAAAUUCAAUUUCAAGGUCAUUCAGGCCAAAACAAUACAAUUAUAUCUGGUUCUAAAUGACACUUGUCAUAGAUCAAUUUCAAAUAAUAGCUUACAGUUUUGGAUGAACACGCUCUGGUGGAAUAAGACUGAGUUGGAGAUUGUGCUCAAAUAGUAGGUAAUUGUUCAUCUCAUCAGCCACAACCUUGGCCACCUGCAAGUUACAGCACAUAUCAUGUUAACACUAAAACAAUAUCUUUUAUUGAAGACAGCAUAAGAAUCUGCUAGAACAAAGAUUCUUACCUCGGGGUUUUCAAAUUCAAGAAAUCCAUAGUGUCUUGAUUUUCCUGUCUAGAAAAUAUGAAAAGAAGUAGAGAAAUAUCAGCACCAGUUAUAUAUAAGGUAAACUGCUCAAUUAAAUAUACAUAUAUAUAAGAAAAUGGCUUAACAGUCAGAAGGCAUAAUUUGGAUUUUCUACAUAGGCUUAAGUACGUUUGUCAGGUGCAGGCAUGCAAUUAAGUAUCAGAGCUUUCCAAUAUCUAAGAAUCACAGUUGUCAAAUAACCUAGGUGAUCCCUCCUCCAGCCUACGCGAUUAGGUGACUGCCUAGGAAAUAGAAUUUAUACAAAAUUUACAAAAUAAUAUACCUUUAUAUAUUUGAAUUAUUAAUCAAGACAUGCUUUUUGCUAAUAAACAAUCCAUAUUUGGGUUAUAUGCACGAGUUCUACUAAAAAUUAAUAUUUCCAAUAUCACAAUUUUAUUGUUGUCCUAAAAUUAUAAACAAUAUACAGAAGCAUACCAAUCAUAUAAAUGCACAAGAUUAUUAUUAACAAGAGUGUAUUACUAAUAUGAAUAGUAGUAGCACUAGUUAUUGCACUAUAUUAAAGUUGUACACUGUAAGGAUAUCUAUCACAUACAAAUCCAGGAUAAGUUCCUAAGUUGAGCAGAAAACUUAUGAUGCUUAAAUAGAACCCAAUGAUUGAAUAAAAACCCAUUAAAGAUGUAAGCAAGAAUCUCUUAAACAUACGAAAAAUAACUGAACUAAAUCAAGCAAUGAAUUAGAAAGAAAAUUAGAAAAAAAAUGAAAUAAAAGCAUAAAAAUGUAAUACAUAUAUCUAAGGUCCGCAAUCUCAGUACCAAAAACGUUAUCAAUUUGGUGUCUUACGAUAUGGUACCAAGACAUCUUUUUUCUUACUUUUUAUCAUGAUACUGCUCGAAAUGGGGCGAUACGGGCUGGUGCUGAGUGGAACGAGGUAGUUCUACUCAGUGGAGUAGUUCCCAUGCCAAACCAGCAAACCAACCCGGUCUUGCACCAAUUUGGUAUGGUAUGCUUUGAACCGGGUAGUUCGGGUCAGUUUUGCAGUCUUUGACUAUAACAAUAUGGUAACAAUAUGGUGGUGUGCCAGUAAGAUCAUUGUGGAGAGUACCAUGGAGAACAAGUAGAGGGAGUCCUUUGAAAGCCUGUAUGAGAGUAUCCUUUGGUCCCCCAAAGCCAAUGGUAAAAGAAAGAAAGAAAGCAAAAAAAAAAAAAGACUUCUUGUUUUGGAGAGCUUCAGACCAACCAUUCUCCUUGGGUUUAACAAUAUCAACAUCAAGAAGUGGAAAAUGAAAGAGAAAUGGAGAGGAAGCAGAGAAAAAGCGGAGAGAUAGAGUGAGAGAGUGAGAGAAUUAUUGACAAUAGAAAGGGAGAAGGAGAGAGAGUACUCUCCAUCAACCAUGAAUCAGCAUACAAGACUGCCAACCAUUGUGAAGGUCAGUUUGAGAGUGGAAAAACUUCGGAUGAGAGGAGAGAAGGAUCUAAUGGAUCAAUCACCUUUGUUCUUUGUUUUUGUUUUCCCUUUCCCUUAUCCAGUUUGACCCUAUCCAGUCCCAAGUCAGCUGACUCAGGUUUGGCUUGCCACUAUAGUUGAUGGGUUGGUCGACGUGAUUGCCAAGCAAAAUUGGGCAGCGCAGGCAACGCCCACUCACCCAGCUGAGUGUCCAAAACAUUAUGCGACCGCCUAUAUAGUGGAUAGUUCAGGCUGGCCUUACCUAGGCAAUCUAGGCCUAGUCAGGUGCCUAGGCACCCUGCUAGGUGCCUAGGUGGGCGCCCAUAACAACUAUUCUAAGAAUAUCUUUUCUACAGACCAGUACCCAAGUGCAAUAGACAUGUUCAAAAUGGCUUAGAGGCAGAAAUCAUAG